AGAGGAAAAGGGCUGCAAAACUGUCAAAAGCAUUAAUUAAGAAACAACGGUGGGUUCUCAUCCUAGAUGAUUUGUGGGACUGUUUUGAUUAUAAUAAGGUGGGAAUUCCUAUCAGAGCCAAGGGAUGCAAACUAAUUCUUACAACUCGAUCAUUUGGAGUUUGUCAGCGGAUGUUCUGCCAGAAGACAAUCAAAGUGGAGCCUCUUUCAAUGGAAGAAGCUUGGGCUCUGUUCAUGAAGGUACUUGGAUGUAUUCCUCCAGAAGUGGAAGAAAUUGCAAGAUCUAUUGCUAGUGAAUGUGCUGGUUUGCCUCUUGGAAUUAAAACAAUGGCCGGAACCAUCAGGGGAGUGGAUGACAGAUGUGAGUGGAGGAAUGCUUUAGAGGACCUGAAACAAUCAAGAAUUAGGAAAGAUGAUAUGGAGCCUGAGGUAUUCCACAUACUGAGAUUUAGUUUUAUGCACUUAAAGGAGUCAGAACUGCAACAAUGCUUCUUGUGCUGUGCAUUAUUCCCGGAAGACUUCAAGAUCCCUAGAGAGGAUUUGAUAGCUUAUUUGAUUGACGAGGGCGAUAAAAGGGCUGGAAAGUAGGGAGGCAGAAUUUGACAAAGGCCACUCGAUGCUGAAUAAACUCGAAAGAGUCUGCCUAUUGGAAAGCGCUAAGGAAGAGUAUGAUGAUGAUAGAUAUGUCCAUGACUUGAUUAGGGAUAUGGCCAUCCAAAUACUGGAAGAGAACUCUCAAGGCAUGGUUAAAGCAGGUGCACGGUUAAGAGAAGUGCCGGGUGCAGAGGAGUGGACAGAGAAUCUUACUAGAGUUUCACUGAUGCAUAACCAGAUUGAAGAAAUUCCUUGUAGCCAUUCACCGAGGUGUCCCAGUCUUUCAACUCUAUUGCUAUGCAGAAAUGCAGAGUUGCAAUUUAUUGCAGAUUCAUUUUUUGAGCAGUUGCAUGGGCUCAAGGUUCUUGAUCUGUCUUAUACAGGUAUCAGAAAACUACCUGAUUCUGUCUCUGAAUUAGUAAGUCUCACUGCAUUAUUGCUCAUUGGUUGUGAUAUGUUAAGGCAUGUGCCGUCAUUAGAAAAGCUCAAGGCACUGAAGAGGUUAGAUCUCUCUGGUACUUCGGCACUUGAAAAUAUGCCUCAAGGCAUGGAAUGUCUAUGCAACCUGAAGUAUCUUAGAAUGAGUGGAUGUGGUGAAAAGGAGUUUCCUAGUGGGUUGUUACCUAAGCUCUCUCACCUGCAAGUCUUUGUAUUGGAGGAGUGGAUUCCUGAAACUAAUAAUAGAAAAGAAGAAUAUGUUCCGAUAACAGUUAAAGGUAAGGAAGUGCGAUGCUUGAGGAAGUUGGAAAGUUUGGAAUGUCAUUUUAAAGGUUACUCAGACUACGUGGAGUAUCUCAAAUCUCGGGAUGAAACCAAAUCACUAACCAAAUACCGUAUUCGUGUAGGACUACUGGAUAAGUAUUAUAAGUAUUAUCAUGAUGAUUUCAGAAGGAAAACAAUUGGUUUUGGUAACUGGAGUAUCGACAGAGAUGGAGAUUUUCAGGUCAUGUUCUCGAAGGACAUUCAACAACUAGGCAUUGAUAAUUGUGAUGAUGCAACAAGUUUAUGCGAUUUUUUGUCUCUAAUAAAGAAUGCAACUGAACUGGAGGCUAUCAAGAUUAGUGAUUGCAAUAGCAUGGAGAGCUUGGUUUCAUCUUCUUGGUUCUGCUCUGCUCCACCACCAUCUCCAUCUUAUAGUGGAAUAUUUUUUGGUCUUAAAGAGUUUAGUUGUUAUGAUUGUAAGAGCAUGAAGAAGUUGUUCCCUCUUGUCUUGCUGCCAAGCCUCGUAAGCCUGGAACGCAUUAAAGUUGAUAACUGUGAGAAAAUGGAGGAGAUAAUAGGUGGAACAAGAUCAGAUGAAGAAGGGGUUAUGGGUGAAGAAAGCAGCACCAAUCUCAAACUCCCCAAGUUAAGAUCUCUGCAAUUGAUUAGAUUACCAGAACUGAAAAGCAUUUGCAAUGCAAAAGUGAUUUGCGAUUCUCUCCAAUUAAUUCAAGUAAUGUUUUGUGAGAAGCUGAAGAGGAUUCCAAUUUGUCUUCCGUUGCUUGAAAAUGACGAGCCAUCUCCUCCCCCUUCUCUUGGAACAAUACUUGCAUGGCCAAAAGAAUGGUGGGAGUCAGUAGUGGAGUGGGAGCAUCCUAACGCUAAGGAUGUCCUUGGUCCCUUUUUGAGGUUUUAGUUGGAGGAUGAGUAACGACAGUGCCCUUAAUAUAAUAUUAAAUUAAGAAUAAACUAUGUGUCAACAAUCUUAAUAGUAAUUGUAUUUCAAUCUUAUUAAAUUAAAACCUAUUUUAUCCACUGCCUAACGCAUGCGAUGUCCUCCGUCUCUUUAUCAAGUUUUCAUUCGUAAGCAUUCAUGUGAAACUCUUUGUAAUUAGAAGUAGCUCGCUAAUAUUAAAAUUAAAUUUGUUAUAGUUAGAAUAGUUGUCAAUUAAUUUUUUAUUUUUUAUCAAAUUUAAUUCCUUUUCUUUCAAUUUUAUAUGGACUCAAUAAAUUUAAAUUUAUUGUGAUUUAAUUGAGUGAGUCUACAUUAAAAUGCAAGCACAUGAAUAGUGUUUUGGUUCUGCCACAAGGUAUUGAAUUUCCUAUAAUAAUUAGAAUAUAAUAUAUAGUUUUAACCUGCAUUUUACCACUUAAGUAAACACCAUUUAACAAUAAUAUAAAUUAUUUGCAAUUAAUAAAAGGGACUGGGUCCAUUUGGUCCCAGGAAAGAGCCCCAAUAAGAAAACAAUACAAGCCCAGGCCCAUAAACAUUUGACCCAGGGAAGAUCUACAGUGAUACAGUGGUUGAUAAACAACCAUAUAUUAACACAGUUGAAAGUUACGGUAAUUCGUAUGUCAUAGCCAUCAUAACAAUUAAUGAAUUUAGCAUGUCACCGAAGCAAAAAUCCUUUUCUUUUUAAUGAAUUUUGACCAUUUCUAUGCCCGAGAUUGAUUAAAAAAAAAAAUCAGUCAUCUGAUACUUGGUAUUAUAAUAUUGGUAAAGUAUUUAAUUUUUAUUUAAAAAUAUAUUAAAAUAAUAUAUUAUUUAUUUUUAAAAUGUAUUUUUAUAUGUUAAUACGAUCUAAAAAUAUAAUAAAAAUUAAUUUAAAAAAAUUGAGUUUUUUACAAAAAUUGCCAAACAUGCUAUUUGUGAAGCAAGUUUGAGUUUGUACUUAGAGGUUUCUUUUUCUCUAUCCUUUCUCUACACACACUUAACUUCUAAACAAUGCAUUUGAAAAACUUAAAAAUCAGAGAAUAUUAACCUUCAGAUGAUUAAUUAAAUGUAAACUUAAAUACGAGCUGAAAUUCCAUGAUCUUCCCAUUUUCUCUGAUUAAUUUUAUCAAUGGCAAAAAGGGUGCAUGCAGUCCCCAUAAUUACUGCUUAAUGCACGUGAAGCUGGUCCCCGUAGCCUCUCUCUUUUCUCUGAUAUUACUCAAUAUUAUGCUUAAUGUCAUCUCUCUUCGGUGUUUUCUCCUCAAUGCAUUGACAGGAAAGUUGCCUGCAGAACUUGCCACGUUGGUCAACCUGACAGAUAUGUAAGCAGACACUUUUUCUUUUUUUGUGCGUCUCUUAAUUAAAUCACAGGUCUACGAACCAAAAAACGAUAUAUAUAUUAAAAAAAAAGAUAUGCAAUCAGCCUCUCUUACCACAGGAAAGUUGCUGAUUUUGAUGCCAAAAAGUCUCACAUUUAACAUGCCCGGAUUGUUUCGAUCUUUCAAUCUUCUAUGCUGAUAAUUCAACCAUGCACGUGGAUCAAAUUCAGUGGAAACACUACAAGAUUUCACAGUUUUACUGACGGAAAUAUUCCGUUGGUGUAUGAUAGCACGUUCGUCGGUAAAUUAUUUACCGACUAUAUUACCGACGGAAUACUCCCGUCGGAAUACCUUUUGUCGGUGAUUCCACAUUCCGUCGCUAUAUCGGUCGGUAAUACAAAACAAACAUUUACCGACGGUUUUACCGACGGACCAUGCGCGCAAAAAAAAAAGUUUCCCGCUUGGAAUAUACCGACGGAAAAUAUUCCGUCGGUGUUAUGUAAAUACCGACGGACUACCUCCGUCGGUAAAAGUGUCGGUGAUAUUUCAUACCGACCGAAUAUUUCCGUCUAUCAAUUAGUCGGUAUUUGUAUACCGACGGAGUAUUUCCGUCGGUGAAUAUGUCGGUGAUGGGAUGGAAUACCGCAAACACUGUCCAAUGCCAACGGAUUUAUUCCGUCGGUAAAUCCCUAUGUAAUUUUUUUUUAAUUAUUUAGAAAAAAUAAUAUAAAUUAAUGGUAAUACAAACCAAUUAUGCAAAUAAAAUUUAUAUUAAGCAACAAAAACUCAAAGUUAAAUAAUAUUCAUUACAAAAUGAAUGUGUUUAAAAAAAACAAUUAAUAUAAAGGUGGAGGAGGAGGAGGAGGAGGAGGGUGGGGGUUAGGCGGCCAAAAAGGAUUAGGCGCACAUAUUCCACCUUGUGUCAUGUUCAUGACCAUUUGACGAAGCUCUUCAUAGGCCGCUCUUUGUUGUUCAGACUCUGCUCUGUGUUGUUCGUUCGCCAAUCUUUGCUCUUCUUUGAGUUGUGUGUACGCCUCUGAUAGGUGGUCGCACCUUUGCUGCAAGGCCACAAACUCCUUAGAUUGGGAGCUCGAUACAGAUUGGGAGCUCCCAACGGUUGAAGCAGUACCGGUCGACCGCAAGUUGGCGGCGGUAGUGUUGGAGAGCCCGUAAACCUGAUUUUUAUCGGGUCCACCUGACGAUCCAGCCUCCAUCCACAAAUCCGGAUCGAAUUCCAGAUAGGUCGAAGGAUCGUCCUCGUAUCUCUCCCUCAACCGAUUAUUAUAGGUCUCCUGAAAAAAAAAUCAUCAUAUUCAAUUCAAUAAACAUAAUAAUAACUUAUAAAAUAAAAUGGUUGAACAAACAUACCACAAACUGUUGAGCACGGUUGUCAAUGAACUGUUGCGUCCCUUUUUGGCGGUCAUAACUCCGCACGUGCGUCUCCACAAACAGCUCCAUAAGGCUCGGCUCACGUCCAAGAGACGUAGCCUAUAAUGAAAAAAAUGUAUUAACAACAAAUUAAUUGAACGAUAUAUUUCAUUUAAAUUAAUCUUACCAUCCGUUUCGCAUGUGCAGCAAACGGAACGGAGCCACCGGUGUGCGUUGUGACCGAGCCAUGAAUUGGCCGAUUCCGGUUGCCGGCACCGGAUUGUGAGCGUCGAGUGAACCGCUCAGACGUCAUGUGCUGAAGAUAGUGCGGCCAUAUAUCUUCCGGGAUGUAUAUCGGUUUGAAAUCCCUCCAAACCGCAACAUCGUUCCAGCCUUGGAACCCCUUAUCCCUCGCUGUUUUUUUAGCCUUUUUCUGGGUGUCAUACCAAAAAUCACGCAACCUAAUUCAUGCACGAAAAAAUUACAUUUCGAAACAUAAAUAAUUAUGUAAAAAAAAAGUCGUAUUGUUUUCGAUGUUACCUAAUUGCCGCGUGAUUUUCCCACACCCUCCUCACAACAGUGUCAUGUUCAUCGUCCCAGCUGAAUCGAUGCUGUGUAUAAAAAAAUAAUUUUUUAAAAUGUUAAUAAUUUAUUUACAAUUAUAACUAGAAUUUAUUAGAAAUAAGCUGAAAAUUAUAUAUUAACACGAACCUCAAAUCUACAAAACCAUGCAUUGACUUGAGGCAUCCAUUCAGGAUGCCUGGAUAUUUGACUCUAUUGAAACAAUGGAAUCUCCAGCGACGCUUUAAACGCCGAUGAUAUUACUCGGGCGGCCUCAAUGUUUGUGAACCUGAAAAAAAAUGAAAUUAAUGAAAUAAUGAUUACUUCAUAAAUUAUGUUUUAAAUUUGUUUUUUAUAUAUAUAUUUAAAAAAAAACUAAAACCUUAACAAACUUACAUUGAAAGAUCGUCCUUCCAAUGUGCCUCGUACUUGCGGGUAAAUUGAUUCCGCUGCGAAGGCACGCCGUUUCUGUGAUGUGAAACAUCGCUGGAAAAGGCAGCAUCGGUUGACGACGCAUAUGGUGUAGGUGCCUCUUCUUGAGAGGCACCUAAGGAAACAUCAGCAUCGCUGCUAGACGAACUUGAUUCGACUGGACGUGAACGACCAGCUCUGGUUUUCAUUUUGCGCAUCUAAACAAAUUUAUAUAAAUAAUUGUAUAAUAAAUUUCAAAAGUUAAAAAAAUCGGCAGCACCUCCCCUAUACUGGACACUACCCAAAUCCACAAACCUGCAAAUAUUAACAAUAGCCACAACCAAUUGACCCAAUCUAUACUAAUUAUUCACAUAUUCAACUAUUAAUCCUAAGAUAAAUUCAACGUUAACAAUUAAAAUUCACAAAUUAUUCAAUAAUUAUGUCAAUACAACAAAACUAUAAAUUCAAAAUAAAUAGAAACAAUUAAACACAAAUCAUCAAGUUAGAGUAAAAUUAAUAAUUCUUCCAACAUAUUCAAUAAUUAAUCUAAGAUAUUCAACAUUAACAAUAUUAAUUCAACAAAAUGAUUAAAUAAUUAUGGCAAUACAACAUAAAAUAUAUUCAAUAAAAUAAAAAGAAUUAUAGCCUAACAAUUAAAAUCAAUGGAAACAAUUAAACACAAAUCAUGCAUAUAUAAACAAAAUUACUAAUUAUUCCAACAUAUCCAAUUACUAAUUCUAAGGUAAAUUCAACAUUAACAAUUUAAUUCAACAAAUUAUUCAAUAAUUUUGUCAAUACAAAAUAAAUAUAUUCAAUAAUUAAAAAAUAAUAUAAACUAACAUUAAAAACAUAUGCAAUUACUAAUUAUUCCAACAAACGCAAUUAUUAAUUCUAAGGUAAAUUCAACAUUAACAAUAUUAAUUCAAUAAAUUAAUCAAUAAUUAUAUAGGCAAUACAACAAUAAUUAAUAUUCAAUAAAUUAAAAAAAAAAUAGACUAACAAUUAAAUUAACAAAUAUUCAACAAUUCAAAAAAUCAAAAAAAUUCAAAUAUUCAACUUUAACUAAUUUUAAGUUAAAUUAACUAAUAACAAUUCUAACAACACAACAACAAAAACUAUUCAAAAAAUUCAAAAAAAAAACCUACAUCAAGAAAAGGAACGAAAUAUACAUACCUUAAUAAUGUGUCCAAUUCAAAACUUUAUCUACAUUGCAACAAAAAACACCAAAACAACAAAAAUAAAAACAACUAAAAAUAAAAUAAAAUAAAAUAAAAUAAAAUAAAUUAGAAAAAAAACACAUACCUUUUAAUAUGAUGAAGAUUUACAACACCAAAUCUUGCUAGAGAUUCAAGGUGAAAGUCUUGAAGGAUUGAGGGCAAAAAAAUGAAAAAUUUGAGGUGAAAAACGGAGGAGAAGCGAAGCGGCGGGGAGAAGAAGAAAAAAUGAGGCGAAGCGGCGGGGGCUGGAACUUAUAGGGCAGUUUUACCGAUGGACUCACCGACAGAAUUAAUAUUCGUCUGUAAAAGGUAAAACAUUCCGUCGGUAACCGGUCAAAAAUCCGUCGUUAUUUUUUGAAUUUUGCCCUGAAUUUUUAAAAGCCCUCCAUAUUUUUCGCCGUCCGUCGGUGAUUCCGUCGGUAAUAUGACAAGUUCAGAGGCGCAUUAAUUCACACACUUUGGAAAUCGCGCGGUCCAUCGGUAUUUCUGUCGGUAAUAUGUCUGACCGACAACUUACCGACGGAAAUAUUCCGUCGGUAUUAGCGUCGACAAAUCUAUCGGUGAAUCCAUUUUGUGAUUGUGGCAUUUUGUUGUAAAUAUUUUCAAACUUUCUGUGAGAUACCGACGGAUGGUUGUCCGUCGGUAUGGACGUCGGUGAUUGUGGCAUUUUGUUGUAAAUAUUUUUGAACUCUCUGUGAGAUACCGAUGGAUGGUUGUCCAUCGGUAUGGACGUCGGUGAUUGUGGCAUUUUGUUGUAAAUAUUUUCGAACUCUCUGUGAGAUAAAGUAUAUAUAGGUUAAACUGAAAGUACUAUUAUACCCUUAAUAAAUAAGACUACAUAAUAUUAUUUAACAUCUCCCCUCAAACUCACGAUGCGACAGCUACAAGCAUCGAGAGUUUGCCAACCAGAAAAUGAAAACGAGAGAUGGAAUGCGCCUUGGUAAAGAAGUCUGCAAUCUGCAAGGAAGAAGGAACAAAAGGCAAAGUAAUGGUUCCAUGCUUGAGAUGAUGACGAGUAAGAUGACAAUCUAUCUCAAUUUGCUUAGUCCGCUCAUGAAAAACCGAGUUGUGAGCAAUCUGAAUAGAACUCUGGUUGUCACAAUACAUAGGAGUAGGAUGAGAAAAGGAAACUCCCAUAUCAGCAAGUAACCAACGUAACCAAAUAAUCUCUUUAGUAGUAGAUGCCAUGACACGAUAUUCUGCUUUGGUGGAUGAUUGAGAAACAAUAGAUUGUUUCUUGCUCUUCCAAGAAAUAAGAGAAUCACCUAAAAAGAUACAAACCCUGUAACAGACUUGUGAUCUGUGGGAUCACUACCAUGAUCAGCAUUAGAGUAUGCACGCAACUCCAAGGAAAAGGUGGAUGAAAGUAAAAGACUUUGAAAAACUGUACCCCGAAGAUAUCGCAAAAUACGAAGAACAGCUGCCCAAUGAACAGUAGUAGGAGAAGCAACAAACUGACUAACAACAUGAACAACAUAUGCAAUAUCUGGACGAGUAAUGGUGAGAUAUACCAAACUCCCAACAAUAGUGCGGUAUAAAGUAGGAUCUAUCAAAGGUAAACCAUCAGAAGAAGAGUACCUUGCGUUAACCUCAAUAGGAGUAUCCACAGUCUUGUUAUCAGUAAGUCUAGCCCGCUCAAGAAUAUCUGCAACAUAUUUCGACUGAGAAAGAAGGUAACCUCUAGGUGAGUAUGCUACCUCAAUACCCAGGAAAUAUCGAAGAUAACCCAAAUCCUUCAUCUCAAAUCGUCUAGCCAACUCUGUCUUCAAAACUGAAAUACCAUCAAUGUCAUCACCAGUAAUAAUCAUGUCAUCAACAUAUAAAGACAGAAUGAUACGACCUGCAUCAGUGCACUUAAUAAAAAGAGCAGAAUCAUGACUGCUAGAAACAAAGCCAGUGACGAGAUCACAAUAGAGAAUUUCUCAAACCAAGCACGGGGUGCUUGUUUGAGACCAUAUAAUGCUUUCUUAAGCUUACAAACAUAUCCAGAGUCAUGUGAAAUACCAGGAGGGGGUGCCAUAUAAACUUCUUCUUGAAGAUCUCCAUUCAAGAAGGCAUUUUUAACAUCAAGUUGAGAAAUAUGCCAUUGACGAAUCGAAGCUACGGCAAUAAGAGUACGAAUAGUAGUCAUUUUUGCAACCGGAGCAAAUGUCUCCUCAUAGUCCAUACCAUACUGUUGAGAGUAUCCUUUGGCAACCAACCUAGCUUUUAUCGCUCAAUAGACCCAUCAGAAUUAGUCUUGAUCUUAUACACCCAACGACAACCAACAACACUCUUACCAGGAGGUAGAGGAACCAGAUCCCAAGUAUCUGUCUUAUGCAAUGCAGAAAGUUCCUCAUCCAUAGCUUGCUGCCAAAGCGGAUCAAGAAUUGCCUCUUUAUAGGAAGAGGGCUCAACAAGACAAUGAAUAGAGGCUAAAAAGGAAGUAAAUGAUGAAGAAUAACAAGAAUAAGCAAAAUCUGGUAGUUUUGUGGACUUACGAAUACGGAUGGACUGACGUGGAGGUGGAUCCACAAUCUCAGAUGAAGCUUGAGGGGCUGUAGAUGAGAAUGGAGCUUCAGGUGUGCCAGAGAGUAAAGUACCAGUACCUGCAGAGUUAUGAGUACAAAUUGAUCGAACAUGGGGAGAGCUAUCAUUACCAGAAUCCUCAGAAAAUGGAUCUAUACUAAUAAGAUCAGAUUUAGUCAGGCUAUGAGUAGUGGAUGGAAUAGAAAAGAAAGGUAUAUGCUCAAGGAAGACAACAUGACGAGACACAUAAAGUUUCUGAGUUAUUGGAUCAAAACAACGAUAACCCUUUUUACCUUCACCAUAGCCCAAAAACACAAAUAGCGAUCGAGAGGAUAGCUUACUUCUUUCUACAUGAGGACGAAGAACGAAACAAGUACAACCAAAGACUCUAAAUGAGGAAUAAUCAGGGACAUACCCAUAUAACUUUUCAAAAGGAGAUAGACCCGAACUAUGAGAAGAUGGAAUUGUAUUAAUCAAGCUUACAGCAGUAAGAACAGCUUCUCCCCAAAACUCACUAGGAACAAAAGCAGACAACAAGAAGAACGAGCAGUUUCGACAAUGUGCCUAUGUUUUCUUUCAGCAACACCAUUUUGCUCAGGAGUAUCUGUACAUGAAGUUUGGUGGAUGGUUCCAUCUAGGGCAAGCAAUUGGCAAAAUUUAUUAGAAGUGUAUUCCCCACCUAAAUCACACCUAAAGCAUUUGAUCACAGUAGAAAUUGAGUUUUGAUAAGAGCUCGAAAAGCUGCAUAUAUCUCAAAGAAUUCAGAACGAUGUUUCAUUAAAUAAACCCAACAAUAACGAGUAUGAUCAUCAAUAAAAGAGACAUAAUAUCGAGACCCUCCUUUUGUGGCAACAGGAGAAGGUCCCCAUACAUCAGAAUGAAUCAAAUCAAAUGGUGAAGAAGAAACAGAAAUACUUCGAUUAAAAGGUAAGGCGGAAAAUUUUGCCAAUUUACAUCCACUACAAUCAGAAAUGUCACAAGUUUUUAAAUUUCCUAAAGCUCCUGUGGAUGCCAAAAAUCUCAAACGAGAAGACGAAACAUGACCUAGACGGGAAUGCCAUAAAUAAAAACUAGAAGAUGAAAUACUCAAACGAAAGGAAGACAAAUCAACGGUAGUAGUAGCAACGGCAGCAGCAACAACUAACACUUUUAACUCAUCCAAAAUAUAUAGUCCAUUCUCCCUACGGCCUGUCCCAAUCAGCUUCUGAGACUGCAGAUCCUGUAUACAACAAAAUGAACCAGAAAACAUGACUAAAUAAUCACCAGAAUCACAUAUUUGACCAACAGACGCAAGAUUCAAUUUGAGUUGUGGAAUAAGAUAAACAUUAGGGAGAGACAUGUGAGGUGUGACAAUAGAACCAACACCUGCUAAGGGCAUUUGAGUGCCAUCAGCAGUCAUAACAGGAAUGGAGGACAAAGGGGAUACGAGGUAAAAGAUGAGGAAUCUGGAGACAUAUGAUGAGAAGCACCAGAAUCCAAGACCCAUUCAGAAUGUGACAUACCUGAGGAACUAUGAGGCAACUGACCUAUGGAAGAAGAAGCGGACAUUGCUUGUGGCUGCAAGGAGAGAAACUUCUGAAAUUGCUCAGCCAAAAUAUUAGGAUCGGUAAUAGAACUCGAGGAAGCUACUGCUGCAGUGUAUUGUUGUGUGGUUUAUAACCCUGAGGUGGUCUAUGAGCAUUAGAUUGUGACUGAUUGCCAGGCUUCCAAGCUUGAUUCUGAUGUCUCAACUUAGGACACUGAGCCUUCCAAUGACCUUUCUGCUUACAGAAGCUGCACUCAUCGAAGCCAACCCUUGUGAGACUUAUUCUGAUGAUUAGAGAAUGACCUAGAAGGUACUAGUACAGAAGGAUUUGAAGCAGAAAGAAUUCCUUUUUCAGAAUAAGACUGAAAACGUAUUUCUUCAGCCAAUAACUCACUACACAACAGAGUCAACAGAAGGCAGUGGAGAACGAUGCAGAAUUGAACCUCUAAGUCCUUCGAAAUCACUGCGAAGUGCUGUUAAAAACUGUACCAAUCUUUGCUGCUCUCUACGCUCAAUAUAGGCACCACAUGCCUUUAAUUCUCGAUUCUGUAAGAGCCAAUUGAUCCCAAAGAUCUGUCAUAGCAGAAUAAAACUCUUGAAUACUCAUAUUCUUCUGAUGAAGAGCUCGUAUGUCAUUCUCUAAUUGAUACUGUUUUGCAAAAUUUGAUUGUGUGAAUAACCUUUGCAGAUGAUCCCAAACCUCUUUUGUUGUCUCAUACUUCGCCAACUGCGUACCUAUCGAAUGCUCAACAGAAUUGUUGAUCCAAGUAAUGAUCUUUCCAUUAUUUGCUUCCCAUGUAUCUAUCAAACCAGCAUCCCCUCCUCAAUAUUCUUAGGUAUCAUAUAAGUACCACUAACAUACCCCACAUCUUCUUACCCUUAAGAAAAUUUCUCAUUACAUAACUCCAAUACGAAUAGUUCUUCCCAUCCAACCUCACACUCACAGACUGAAGCGAAUCAUCUCUUUCAGUAGCCAUAAUCAACAAUCACAGAUAACCAGAAUGCAAAAGCAGCGGAAGACAAAAUACUAAAUUGCAGAAACUAAACAAAUAUCUUCUCGAAAUUAUACGAUUACUCCCAAAACACAAAACAAAAUUGCAAAAACUGAACGCAAAUACCAAAUUGCAGAAGCUGGAGGGAAGAUGAAAUACUAAAAUAAUUGCAGAAACUGUCGAAAUACCUAAUUUUGCAGAAGCGGAAGACAAAAUAUCACUCCAAAAAAAAAUUAGGAUUAAGCCUUGUUCCAUAAAACCAGCUCUGAUACCAUGUUAAAGUAAUUGAGAUCAAACACAAAAAGGAGGCUAGAAUUCUGAAUAAUUUGUAUAUUAUGAAUGCAUGGUCUUAGUCUAAAUACAAAUAAAGUAUAUAUAGGUUAAACUGAAAGUACUAUUCUACCCUUAAUAAAUAAGACUACAUAAUAUUAUUUAACACUUAUGAUACCAUGCUUUUAUGCUCUAUGAUACUUGAAGGAGGAUCAAUGACUUAACAGGAAGAGGGUCUUCUUACCCGCCAUUGAGUAAUAUGGAAUCCAUAAAAACAUAGUGAGGUGGAGUUCUUCUAAUCUUCUGUCCUUUUCAGCUUAUGCUCUUGACCUUUGAUUUGUACAAUGAUUUUAAAAAUGCAGGGUUUUGAGGAAGUGCAUAAUAUUUGGAUAGGUCACAGACUAUGUUGGGGAGCUGGAAAAACUGAAAUGUUUGUAAGUGGUUCCAUCCAGAGGCUCUCUAAUGAUUCCCUUUCAAAGCAAUCAUUGUCAAUAUGAUUAUCAUUUGCUUUCUUAAGAAAUGUUCUUGAGAGUUUCCAUGAUGUUUUGUGUACCACUAAACAAUAUGAGAUGAAACUCUGUGAAAUGGCUUGUUCUCAAGGACUCCAAUUACUCUUCAAUGGCCUUGGAAAGGGCCAGAUAGGCUUUCUCUCGCAGGCUCAUCAUUGUCUCACAACGCAAUCAUACAAGAUUUUCUGUUUGAAUCAAUUUUAUCUUAGAAAACGAUUUGAUUGUUUUUAAGCUUUCAGUUGGAAUUAGUGCAAUUGAGAGCUACGGAAAAAUCCCUUUUAAUUUGUCAACGUACUUGACAGGAAACAAACUCACUAGAUCUGUUCCUCAAUGGCUUCUGGAAAGAAAGAAGAAUGUGCAUGUCGAUUUCCGCCAGAUUUAUUUUUCAACUUGAAGUUCUGCUGCAACCCAAAGAUUUCAUGUUUCAGAAGUUUCCAUAAAAAAAAAUCCUAAUUCAAGAACCUCAUAGAUGAUAACUGUUUGAAGUUUCUCAUUGGUUUUGUCUUUAGGUUGUUUUUUAUUCUGUUUACAAGGUAGCUGAAUGUUUGAUGCUUUCUCUCAUCUGUCCUCACUAAACUCUAUAAGUUUGCGGUAGAAAAAUAGCUGUAGCAAUAGGUCAAAUGUUCUCCAUAAAAUUGCUUAGGUUUUAUAUGUAGAACAGAAAACAAAGAAAGCAGAGCAAAUUAUCAAUUCUUAGCCAUAAGUUUGAGGAUGAAGCUUUUCAUUGUUGAAGGAAACCAAUUAAAGCUUGUGUACAAUUGCCAGUCCCGUGCUCUAUUUGUUGAGUUUAUUUCUUCCAUUCAUCAGAAGCAUUUCUUUUGGAGUUCAAAAAAUAAAUGUCUUUGGAGUUAUUGCUUUGGAAAUUGUCAGUGGUAAGAGCAACACAAACUACAGGCCAAAGGAGGAGUUUGUUUACCUUCUUGACUGAGUAAGCCUAUACUCUCUAAAACUCUCGUUCAUUCUUUGUUUAAUGCUAAUUGGAAAACAUUUGAUGCAAGUCUCGGUUUAAUGCUCAUUGCAAAACAUCACAUUGUAAUAUUAAGUUUCUAACAACCAAUCAAAUUGUGAAUCAUUACUCAAAUAUUAAUUUGUUAUAACAUAUUCAAGAAAUUUUUCCAUUACUUAUGAAUUUAACAUCUUGUGUCAAUAUAAUCACUUGAGAUUUCUUUUUCUCCCUUAAAUGUUGCAGAAACAAAGUACGUACAUUCAUGUCUAAAACAAAAUUGUCCAUGUCCUGCUUCUAGAAAUCAAUAAACUUCUAUAAAUGCAACAUUGGUUUCUUUGAGUUUGGACAAAAUACAUUUCUGGUCCACAGUACCUAUAAGUUUAUUUUAACUAGAAUUUCCUUUUUUCUCUUUUUUUAUGAGUAAUUAUUUCUAUAUCUGAAUCCUUCUUCAUAUUUUCAACAUUCAUCAUACCAUUAUUCCUUCUUCAUAUGGUAUUGAUGAGAUAAUUAUCUUUGGCAGCACUGGUGAUGUUUCGAAAAAUAAAGAGAGAGAAUAAAUAAGAAAAGACAACAAUGCCAUUAAAGAUUUCAAAGUAGGUAUAAUGAAUGAAGAGCAUUAAGCUAAUUGAAUAAAAGCUUGAUAAAUAUAAAUAGAAAAAGAAGAAGAAGACAAAGCUGAUUUUAGAGAGAGAACCGAGAAGAGAGAGAAAGAAGGGAGAAGAAGAGGAGGAGGAGGAAUGGGAAAAGAACUUGAGAAACUAAGUAAGAUGAGUGAAUAAUAUUUUAUAUGUUAGAGGAUUAAUACUUGAAUUAUGGAAUUGAUCAUUUAUUAUAUUGAAGACUACAUCUUGAUUACCACAUGUUAUGGAGACUACAUCUUGUAUCAAUUCUGUUAGAUUAAAUGAAAACACAAGCUUACACAAUCCCAUAACGCAAGUCUACACAAUCACUGUACAAUUUUCCAAUAAUCUCAAAGUAUGAAACGAUAACAUUAUUCCUUACCAAUUAAGAUUUAAAAUAUAGGGUCAUCUUAGUAUCUUUUUUCUCGUUCGUUCAAGUGCGGAAGCCAAGAGGAUCAGCAAGCUACGUACGGUAUGCCAGAUGGGAAGCAAUGCCAGAGCCCUCUCUUACAAGGAAGGAGAUAGUUUUAUCCAUGCUAGCUGCUGACCCUCAGCUGCCUAUUACGAAGUACGUUAUUAACUGCCUAUUAUCUUGUGCUUUGCAUUAUCACAUCAGCUGUUAAAGACAGGCUAAAAUUAAGUUAGCUGUACUGAUUAAAUUGAAACAACAAAAAGGAAAAAAAGGUGAAUAAAUAAAGAGAUCUCUUAGUAUACCAAGGUAUACUACUAGGUAAAUUCCUUCCAAAAAAAAAGGUGAAUAUGUUGGUGGGAGAAACCACUGGUGGUGGCUUUGAAACACUCAGAGGGGAUAAAACACACUGUUUUAUUAUACAAAAUCCGAAGCUUACAAUUAACACAAAACAAAAGCUUAAACACGCCCUCUCUCUCUCUUUCUCUUUCUAGUGUUCCUUUCAAUUCUCUCCACUCAUAUAACAUAAGCUGGACACUCUAUUUAUACACAAAUCAAAAUACGAAAAUUCAACCUUCAAGUGUGAAGGCGGCUGGCGGCAGCAGGUGUGAAGGCGGCUGGCGGCUGCGGCUGGUGGCUGGCGGCUGGCCGGUGGCGGCUGGUGGUUGCCUUCCUUGACCAUCUGGGAGCUUCUGGAUUGAGUUUAUUCAACAAAUCUCCCCUUUAAACUCAAUCGAGGGAUGUCAUGCCAAGCAUGAAUACUUCUCCCUUCAAUGCCUUCUCUCUGCUUGUAGCCUUUAUCCACUAAUUUGGCUUUCGUUUUGUAGACCUUUUUGACACCUAUUGCUUUCUUCUUUUCUGGUGGAUAAGUCAGCUUCCAAGUAUUUUCUUCUCAAUGGCAUGUAUUUCUUCAUCCAUUGCUUUAUCCAUUUCUUUCUGUGACAGCUUUAUUGAAGCUUAAUGGGUCACUAUCUGCAUGAAAACAAAACAGAGUUGUAUCUUCCAUACCUGAGUGGUAUCGUACAACUCUUCAAGAUUCCGCAUCCUUCUUGGUCCUUCUGAUGAGGAUGCUGAUGGUGGUGUAUGGACUGUGUUCCUCCUGUUAAACACUGUGACUUUGUGGUUCAGCUGCUGGCACAAUCGGUUCUUCGACAAGUACUGUUGGUACUUCUUCACCUUCAAGGAUCAAAUCAAGUUGAUCCAUUUGACUGCUUCUUGAUCACCAUUCCAUGCCCAAGAUUUAUCUUCUUCAAAGAUAACAUCUCUACUCGUAAUCACCUUCUUCGUGAUGGGAUUAUACAGCCUGUAUCCCAUCCUUCUUUCACCAUAUCCGACAAAGAUGCAUUUCUCGCUUUUCAUCGAGCUUUCUCCUUCUUGCAUCUGGGAUCUUUGCAUAUGCCACACAACCAAAGACUCGUAGAUGAGUAACACUUGGUUUGUGACCACUCCAUGCUUCUUCUGGAGUAACCCUUGCAAACUUCUGGUUGGGCAGCGAUUCAGUAGAUACACUGCACAUGAUACAGCUUCAGCCCAGUAUUGCUUGGGCAACUUCUUUGCUUUGAGCAAACUUCUGCCAUGUCAAGAAUCGUGCGAUUCUUCCUUUCUGCUACACCAUUCAGCUGUGGUGUAUAAGCUGGUGUCGUCUGAUGUCUGAUGCCUUGUUGUGUACAAAGGCUUCAAAGUCAUUGGCUGUAUAUUCUCCACCUUGAUCAGAUCUCACUGUUCUGAUCGUAACCAGUUUGCUUCUCCACAAUUGCUUUAAAAUCUUUAAAACAAUUGAAUACUUCUGACUUCCUCUUCAGAAAGUAUAUCCACGUCUUUCUACUAAAAUCAUCAGUAAAAGUGAGGAAGUACCUAUUUUGUCCAGUCGACAUAGGCGUAAUUGGGCCACACACAUCUGUGUGUACUAACUCCAGUGGCCUCUUUGCUCUCCAGUUGACUUCUUUGGCAAAACUGGAUCUGUGAUGUUUGCUGAGGACACAACUCUCACAGACUUCAUCUGGAUGAUCAAUGUGAGGCAAACCUUUGACCAUCUUCUUGCUUGCUAGCAUCUUCAGACUUGUGAAAUUCAGAUGUCCAAGCCUCAGGUGCCAAAGCCAUUCUUCACUGUUGGUGAUGGCACUCAAACACCUUGUUGCAUCAUACUGGAUGUUCAAAGGAAACAUCCUAUUCUUGGACAUUUUCACGUAGGCCAUUAAUCUCCCAUUGUUGUCUCUAAUUGUCAGAUGACAAUUCUUCGAGUAAAAACUAUAUCCUCUCUCCAAAAGUUGACCUAAGCUGAUCAGGUUCUGCUUUAUGGCUGGGACAUAAUACACAUCGGCGAUGUAGCUGGAAUCGCCAUUCUUCAACUUGACUGGGAUGCUGCCUUUACCUUUGAAUGGAACCUUUGUGGUAUCUCCAAAAGUAACUAGACCUUGCUUGGUCUCAUCUAGAUCACCAAAUAACUCUCGGUAGCCGCACAUGUGAUUGCUGGCUCCAGUAUCUAGAUACCAUAUAUUUUCCUGUUUCUCGCCAAGUUCUUGUUGGACAAGAAAUGCAGAUGCUUCUCUGUCAUCCUUCUCUGCAAAGUUGGCUUGCUCACGUAUCUCCAACGGAGCUUUCCAUCGGCAUUCAGUGCUAUAGUGCCCAAAUUGAUUGCAGCUAUUACAUUUGAUAUUUCUCUUGUCACGGUUAUUGUAACCGCCUCCUCUUCCUCUAGGAGUGAAUGCUUGUUGUCCUCGGCCUCCUCUGGUGGUGUUUCUGCCACCUCUUCCUCUAAGCUUGUAUUCCAAGAACCUCUUCCUUGGAAUUGCUGAAUCCUCCUCUGGAUUGUUGACUUCCUCUUGAGUGGUGUAGCCACUUGUUGAAGUCUCCCCUUGCUCAUAUCUGUCCUUGAGAGACAGCUUUGCUUGUAAGGCAUGCUCAAUGGCCUUAUCUUCAUUUCGCUUUACAUCUUCUGCUCAUGAGCUUGCAAAGAACUCAUAAGCUCAUCACUGUCAACUUGUCCACUUCCUUGGACUCUUCAAUUGCGACAACAACAAAAUCAAAUUUUGGAUCUAGGAUCUCAAAAUUUUCUCAAUAAUUCGAGAAUCGAUGAGGCUUCUCCAUUUCUUCUCAUCUGGUUGACUAUCACCAUAAUCCUUGUGUGAUAAUCAGAAAUAGACUGAGGACUUCAUUUGCAAUAAUCAAUUCUCCUCGCAAAGAUUGAAGACGAAUCUUCUUGAUUCUGUCAGCACCUUUGUAUUUCUGUUGGAGAGCCUCCCAUAUAUCAUGUGAUGUUUCAGCGGAAGCUAUUAUCUCGAAUGUAUCUUCAUCAAGACCUUGAUAGAUGAUGGUCUUUGCUUUGUUGUCCUUCUUUCUGUUGACUUUAAGGAACUUGCUUCUGUGCCUCUUGUAAAGCAUCUUCUCUUUCUUUAGAUUCUGGUUCAUCAUAACCAGUUUGUACAAUAUCCAAACACUCUUGUGACCCAAGGAAUGCCUUCAAUCUGAUGCACCAACUAUCAUAGUUGUCUUUGGUCAGCUUUGGAAUGAGUGUAUGUGUACCUUCUGUAGUCAUUUUGCUCUUUGAAUGACUAUAUCACCUUUAUGGGAACCGAAUUUGGCCAAACGGACACUGUAGAUCGAUCCGGAAUGGUCCAAAUAGUCGGGAACCGGUCUGACUUUGUUGAAAUCGGGUCAAAAAAAGGGUGAACCGGUCAAAAAACCAAUUUUGUACGGCGGGCGGUUCGCUGGGUUGAACCGGGAAUAUUCUGGGGAAUAUUCGGGGAAUAUUCCUUCGGCUCGGCUGACGCUGGAACGCGGCUCGGCGCGAGGUACGGCUCGGCUUGUGGCUCGGCUGGACUCGGCUUUCGGUUCGGCUUGGACUUGGCGUAUACGGCUCGGCGCGGCUCAAAUAUGGCGCGUGUGUGGCUCAGUCGUCUUCAACCUCGGGGCGCGUGGGAUGCACGUGGGCGAUCUGGCAGAAUAUUCAGGCGGCGCGUGUGGGCUACCUCGGACUCCGAUGAGGCUGAUGAGAUCUACACUGUGGAAUGAUCAAAACUUGUUUUUGACAACUUUGAAAAUUUAGAUAUACCCCAAAACACUUAUGUUUUCCGACGAACGGGGCUCUGAUACCAAUUGUUGGUGGGAGAAACCACUGGUGGUGGCUUUGAAACACUCAGAGGGGAUAAAACACACUGUUUUAUUACAUAAAAUCCGAAGCUUACAAUUAACCCAAAACAAAAGCUUAAACACGCCCUCUCUCUCUCUUUCUCUUUCUAGUGUUCCUUUCAAUUCUCUCCACUCAUAUAACAUAAGUUGGACACUCUAUUUAUACACAAAUCAAAAUACGAAAAUUCAACCUUCAAGUGUGAAGGCGGCUGGCGGCAGCAGGUGUGAAGGCGGCUGGCGGCUGGCGGCUGACGGCUGCGGCUGGUGGCUGGCGGCUGGUCGGUGGCGGCUGGUGGUUGCCUUCCUUGACCAUCUGGGAGCUUCUGGAUUGAGUUUAUUCAACAGAAUAAAUAUCUCAUCUGGAGUUCUAUGUCUUUCUUCCUUCCAAGUUGCUUAAUCAAUAAUUGAACUCAACUCGGUAAAGUUGUAUUUGUUUUGAUUCUUCCAAAUAAAAGGGUCCAUUUGGUUAUAUUAAAAUCAUUGACCAAGUUGUAGAAUUUGCAAGGACUCUUGAUUAAUCAGCUAGCACUUGUUCCUAAUGAUUGAUUUAAUUAUACAUGCUUUGUUUUACAGCUUCAGUUUAUUUCUUAACACACUUAUGGAUAGGAUGUUUGCUGGUUGCUGACGAACUGUAGAAUUUGUACUUGCUCCCUUCGCUUCUGGGCUUCUUUCUUUGAAGGGCACUGCUUCGUAAGAUUGAGGUAUGCAUGCAGUCUUUUCCUUUUCUUACUUGUUUAAAAAGUAAUGAUUUCUUCAAAAUUUUCAUUUUCUUACUUGUAAAAAAUAAUUUCCCUUGCACAAAUUAAAUAAUACUGGAUUGAUCUCUCUUUUAUUUCUCUAGGAAAAAUAUUACAUGAAUAUUGUUUCUGUUUUUCAAAGCUGAAAUUGUUGUUCAGUUCUCACAGCUUGUAUUGCUACCAACUUCAAUUAUCAUCUCUGUCACACAGCUGCAAGGGCGCCAUUCUUUUGGAGACACAAUAUCAGAUUAUCAGACCAGAAGGUAUAUACAUACUGUGCAGCCUUUUCCUUUGCUUAGUCACCCCUGCAGGCCACAGAAGAAGAAGGAGAAAAUGGUUCUACCAAAGGGUCCAUUCUGGGAGCAUGUUGAGGAGAUACCUGGCGGUCGUAGGCGGUGUGAGUUUUGUGGGCAUUUAUUAUCCAAUCAAACUCCGAUUACCAGGUUCAAGCAUCAUUGGUCAGGAGUUCAAAGCGGUGGCGUUACAAUUUGUGACAAAGUUCCACAAGAUGUUCAAGCCGCAUUGUCAGCUGCUGUUGAUGGUCCUCCAGAAAAGAAACGUAAAACCACAGCAACGUCAAACAUUGAUGGGGCUUACAACACAAUUUCAACUUCUUUGCUAGAGCAAAACAGUGAAGUUGGAAACGUAGUGACUGAUGCAGAAACGGAACCAGAAUGGUAUUUUCACUCACCUGGAGAACUAGAAUUCGUGCAGAUGAACAUGGGAAAUUUUAAGCUUGAUAGGGUUUGUAGUUUUCCUAGAGACCUGAUCCCUGUUGCACCAGGGACUGCUGUGGGAAGGGAGCAAGUGGAGCAAGAGUGUGAAAGAAAUACUCGGGACAACAUAACUUUUUCCUUGGAGGAUCAUGAGAAUGAGGGCAUGAUCACGGGAUUGAACCAGCUUGUUGUGAGAGGUGGCUCUCUUGAGAGGCUUACAGCUAAUGAAGAUGAGCCUAGAGGAGAUUCGUCCCAACCAGCAGAUCUACAAUGUCCUGGCCUUGAAAGAAAUUAUGAUCAACAAUGUUCUUCCUCAGUGAACAAUGAUGUCAUGAUGAUUGAUGUGGAGAAUAUGAUUAGAGAACAUGUGCAGCCUGCUGCGAGAGAUAGGUCUCUUAGAGGUCUUCCAUGCAAUGGUGAUGAGAGCAGGGGAGAUUCAUUUCCAGAUAAGAAGCUAGUAGGUGGGGAGUUUGAAGAAAAUAAAAAAAGACAUAUUAGAUAUAGAGACCAGAUUAGAAGUGCAAAUAAUGCAUUAAGAGAAUUAAGACAGAAUAUAAGACGAUUUAAAUUAGAAUUAAGACCAGCUAUAGAUUUUAUGAGAUGCUUGAGCCCUUAUUGGACUCAAUCUGAGAUAGAUGAAGUUUCAGAACAAAUAGCAGUAUUAAGCAGCAGAAUAGCUUUAUUUCAAGAAAGGAUAGAACACAUAGAAUUCAUGUAUAAUUGUAAUAAUAUAGGAUGAAUACAUUCAGGUUAUCACCUAGUAAUCUAACCAGUCCAGAGAGUUUUGUUAAUAAUAAUCAGAAGUUUUAUAGUAGUCAAUAUUGCGAGUACGCUAGAUAUAGUACGAGGUUUAGUAAUCAUGGUAUAUAGUACGAGAUAUAGUAGGAGGAAACCAAUUAAUGCUUGGGUACAUGAACAUGCAGAACAAUUGCCUGUCCCGUGCUCUAUUUGGUGAGUUAAUUUCUUCCUUCCAUCAGAAGCAUUUUGGAUAAAAGGUAAUUUGUUUGGCUUUAAGAAAUUGAAUGUCUUUUAUCUUCUAUAAUUUACAGGGAAGGGUGUAAAGUUCUGAUUGAAACUGGACUGGCCUAUCAGGCAGAAAAAUUGCCUGGGAGCAGCUAGAGGUUUGGAUUACCUCCAUGAAGAGUCAAUAAUAAAAAUUGGGCAUGGGGAUAUCAAAACAAGCAAUGUGUUUCUUGAUAAGGAACUCAAUGCCAAAAUUUCUGAUUUUGGUUUGGCAAAGCUAAAUGAAGAUGGACAGUACCCACAUCAGCACUCGGAUUGCUGGAACCAUGUAAGUUCUUCAAUGAGAACAUUUAUAUGUUUUUUAAACCAGGGCUGAAGAUGACUAUAUUUUCAAGAAUGAAUCUUUGUAUGUGAUUUUGUGUCAUCCCUCUUGCAGUCAUAUCUCCAUUCUCCAAUAGAUGCCCCCAAAAUGCAUAUCUUGUAAAAUGUACCUUUUCCAUGAUCACAGAGUUAAGUAAGAGGCCACGAUUGAAAUGCAACCAUCCUCAACGACAUCAAAAACAAACCACAAUCAAAAACAACAAAAAGAUGGAUCUAGGAAAAGCCGAUAUUGAAACCAUCUGAAGAAAUUUUAGCCAUACGAAAAUGAAUGCAGUGAAGGAACACCAUACCUGUGAAAAAACAGCCGAAGAAUCACAUAACCAUGACAAAGGCUAUUCGAUCGAGCCUUGAAGAAGGCAAUCAAAGACACACAGCAUUCCUGAACACAUCAUACAACCAGUAACUGAAGAGCAUCAAAUAAAACAAAAAAAGGAAGGUGAGCAAGCCAAACAAUAGGAGGAAGCUCAGACAUGCUCUUAAACCUAAUCAAAAAGUCCUUCCUGAAAAAAAGAAAAAGCAACCUGCAGGGUCUCUGAAAAGAAACAAACCUAGCAAAUUGAGAGCUGGAGCAACAUCACGCAACCUAAGCCAUGGAAUAACAGGUGGCUGCGCCAGCAAAAGAGCCAAAAUCCCGAGAAAGAAAGCAGAAAAUAACACCACUGAGCUAAAUUCAACUCUAAAAAAAUAAAUUAGGGACAGUACAUGGCAAAACAACUGUCAAACGACAAUGGGGUGAGAAAAAACAAGGGAAACCUGAAAGAUAAUAAAAAACCAAGGACAAUAAAUUGAAUUCCAAUUGAGCUACAUCAUUGAGCAGAAGAGAGAAAGCAGGAAUGCAAAACCAUCUAAAGAAAAUAGAUAAAUUAGCAUAGGGACUCCUUUAUAGGUCUCCCAAUCGGACUUAAACAAGCACAUCCCAGGAAAAAAAGAAAAAAAAGCCCAGCUGACCAUGAUGAGAAAGAUGAUACCAAGGGCAGUAGGCAUCACUGUUACAGCUAACAUGGCAGGACACCCAAAAUUGAAUUGGCAAAGCAUGGCAAGGUUGUACUAUAUAGCAAUAUAUAUAUAUAUAUAAAUUAAUAAAAUCAAGCUGAACAUUCGUACCUAAACUCUCCCAAAUCAAGAAGAUGGAAUGGGCCAUCGAAACCAAAUCCAGUUGAAAAGGCAAGCACGUUCGUCCAACACCCAUCCCAACAAAAAAUACCUUGAACAUCCUGCAAAAAUCUUGCAUAAACUGCCAAGCUGGGAGCAUCUUGUUGAAUAUUAAACUCAACAUCCAGAAGGUCAAGGUUGGCAACCAGCCACCAGCCACCAGUCGCUGACCAGCCGCCAGCCACCAGCCGCAGCCGCCUGCCGCCUCCACUGCCGCCAGCCGCCUUCACACUUGAAGGUUGAAUUUUCGUAUUUUGAUUUGUGUAUAAAUAGAGUGCCCAGCUUGUGUUUAUUUGUGUGGAGAGAAUUGAGAGGAACACUUGAAAGAGAAUAGAGAGAGAGAGGGCGUGUAAUUGUUAAGCUUUUAUUGUGUUAUUGUAAGCUUCGGUUUUGUGUAAUAAAACAGUGUGUUUUAUCCCCUCUGAGUGUUUCAAAGCCACCACCAGUGGUUUCUCCCACCAACAAUUGGUAUCAGAGCCCCGUUCGUCGGAAAACAGAAGAGUUUUGGGGUAUAUCCGAAUUUUCAAAGUUGUCCAAAACAAGUUUUGAUCAUUCCACUAUGUAGAGCUCAUCAAGACGAACUCACUGCCGCAAAAAUCAGCCUCAUCGGAGUCCGGGGUAGCUCACACGCGCCGCCUGAAUAUUCAGCCAGAUCGCCCACGCGCAUCCCACGCGCCCCGAGGUUGAAGACGACUGAGCCACACGCGCGCCAUAUUUGAGCCGCGCCGAGCCGUAUACGCCGAGUCCUAGCCGAGCCGUACCCCCCCCGAGCCGAGCCGCGUUCCAGCCUCAGCCGAGCCGAAGGAAUAUUCCCCAGAAUAUUCCACGAAUAUUCCACGAAUAUUCCCCAGAAUAUUCCCGGUUCAACCCAGUGAACCGCCCGCCGUAUAGAAUUGGUUUUUUGACCGGUUCACCUAUUUUCUGACCCGAUUUCAACAAAGUCAGAUCGGUUCUCGACUAUUUGGACCAUUCCGGAUCGAUCUACAGUGUCCGUUUGGCCAAAUUUGGCUCCCAGAAAGGUGAUAUAGUCAUUCAAAGAGCAAAAUGACUACAGAAGGUACACAUACACUCAUCCCGAAGCUGACCAAAGACAACUAUGAUAGUUGGUGCAUCAGAUUGAAGGCAUUCCUUGGGUCACAAGAGUGUUUGGAUAUUGUACAAACUGGUUAUGAUGAACCAGAGUCCAAAGAAAGAGAAGAUGCUUUACAAGAGGCACAGAAGCAAGCCUUAAAGUCAACAGAAAGAAGGACAACAAAGCAAAGACCAUCAUCUAUCAAGGUCUUGAUGAAGAUACAUUCGAGAUAAUAGCUUCCGCUGAAACGUCACAUGAUAUAUGGGAGGCUCUCCAACAGAAAUACAAAGGUGCUGACAGAAUCAAGAAGAUUCGUCUUCAAUCUUUGAGAGGAGAAUUCGAAUUAUUACGAAUGAAGUCCUCAGAAUCUAUUUCUGAUUAUCAUACAAGGAUUAUGGUGAUAGUCAAUCAGAUGAGAGAAAUGGAGAAGCCAUCAUAGAUACUCGAAUUAUUGAGAAAAUUUUGAGAUCCAUAGAUCCAAAAUUUGAUCAUGUUGUUGUCGCAAUUGAAGAGUCCAAGGAAGUGGACAAGUUGACAGUGGAUGAGCUUAUGAGUUCUUUGCAAGCUCAUGAGCAGAAGAUUGUAAUGCGAAAUGAAGAUAAGGCCAUUGAGCAUGCCUUACAAGCAAAGCUGUCUUUCAAGGACAGAUAUGAGCAAGGGGAGACUUCAACAAGUGGCUACACCACUCAAGGAGGAAGUCAACAAUCCAGAGGAGGAUUCCAGCAAUUCCAAGGAAGAGGUUCUUGGAAUACAAGCUUUAGAGGAAGAGGUGGCAGAAACACCACCAGAGGAGGCCGAGGACAACAAGCAUUCACUCCUAGAGGAAGAGGAGGCGGUUACAAUAACCGUGACAAGAGAAAUAUCAAAUGUUAUAGCUGCAAUCAAUUUGGGCACUAUAGCACUGAAUGCCGAUGGAAAGCUCCGUUGGAGAUACGUGAGCAAGCCAACUAUGCAGAGAAGCAUGAUGGAGAAGCAUCUGCAUUUCUUGUCCAACAAGAACUUGGCGAGAAACAAGAAAAUAUAUGGUAUCUAGAUACUGGAGCCAGCAAUCACAUGUGCGGCUACCGAGAGUUAUUUGGUGAUCUAGAUGAGACCAAGCAAGGUCUAGUUACUUUUGGAGAUACCACAAAGGUUCCAUUCAAAGGUAAAGGCAGCAUCCCAGUCAAGUUGAAGAAUGGCGAUUCCAGCUACAUCGCCGAUGUGUAUUAUGUCCCAGCCAUAAAGCAGAACCUGAUCAGCUUAGGUCAACUUUUGGAGAGAGGAUAUAGUUUUUACUCGAAGAAUUGUCAUCUGACAAUUAGAGACAACAAUGGGAGAUUAAUGGCCUACGUGAAAAUGUCCAAGAAUAGGAUGUUUCCUUUGAACAUCCAGUAUGAUGCAACAAGGUGUUUGAGUGCCAUCACCAACAGUGAAGAAUGGCUUUGGCACCUGAGGCUUGGACAUCUGAAUUUCACAAGUUGAAGAUGCUAGCAAGCAAGAAGAUGGUCAAAGGUUUGCCUCACAUUGAUCAUCCAGAUGAAGUCUGUGAAAGUUGUGUCCUCAGCAAACAUCACAGAUCCAGUUUUGCCAAAGAAGUCAACUGGAGAGCAAAGAGGCCACUGGAGUUAGUACACACAGAUGUGUGUGGCCCAAUUACGCCUAUGUCGACUGGACAAAAUAGGUACUUCCUCACUUUUACUGAUGAUUUUAGUAGAAAGACGUGGAUAUACUUUCUGAAGAGGAAGUCAGAAGUAUUCAAUUGUGUUAAAGAUUUUAAAGCAAUUGUGGAGAAGCAAACUGGUUACACGAUCAGAACUGUAAGAUCUGAUCAAGGUGGAGAAUAUACAGCAAACGACUUUGAAGCCUAUUGUACACAACAAGGCAUCAAACAUCAGACGACACCAGCUUAUACACCACAGCUGAAUGGUGUAGCCGAAAGGAAGAAUCGCACGAUUCUUGACAUGGCAAGAAGUCUGCUCAAAGCAAAGAAGCUGCCCAAGCAAUACUGGGCUGAAGCUGUAUCAUGUGCAGUGUAUCUACUGAAUCGCUGCCCAACCAGAAGUUUGCAAGGAGUCACUCCAGAAGAAGCAUGGAGUGGUCACAAACCAAGUGUUACUCAUCUACGCGUCUUUGGUUGUGUGGCAUAUGCAAAGAUCCCAGAUGCAAGAAGGAGAAAGCUCGAUGAUAAGAGCGAGAAAUGCAUCUUUGUCGGAUAUGGUGAAAGAAGGAUGGGAUACAGGCUAUAUAAUCCCAUCACGAAGAACGUGAUUACGAGUAGAGAUGUUAUCUUUGAAGAAGAUAAAUCUUGGGAAUGGAAUGGUGAUUAAGAAGCAGUCAAAUGGAUCAAUCUUGAUUUGAUCCUUGAAGGUGAAGAAGUACCAACAGUACUUGUAGAAGAACCGAUUGUGCCAGCAACUGAACCACAAAGUCCGGUAUUUAUACCAGCAGCUGAACCACAAAGUCCGGUACACAGAUUCCCUGUAUUCAACAGGAGGAACACACCAGGAGCAUCAUCAUCAACACCACCAUCAGCAUCCUCGUCAGAAGGACCAAGAAAGAUGCGGAAUCUUGAAGAGUUGUACGAUACCACUCAGGUCAUGGAAGAUACAACUCUGUUUUGUUUUCAUGCAGAUAGUGACCCAUUAAGCUUCAAUAAAUCUGUCACAGAAAAGAAAUGGAUAAAAGCAAUGGAUGAAGAAAUACAUGCCAUUGAGAAGAAUGAUACCUUGAAGCUGACUUAUCCACCAGAAAAGAAGAAAGCAAUAGGUGUCAAAAGGGUCUACAAGACGAAAGCCAAAUUAGUGGAUAAAGGCUACAAGCAGAAAGAAGGCAUUGAAAGGAGAAGUGUUCAUGCUUGGCAUGACAUCCCUCGAUUGAGUUUAAGGGGGAGAUUUGUUGAAUAUUAAACUCAACAUCCAGAAGGUCAAGGUUGGCAACCAGCCACCAGCCACCAGUUGCCGACCAGCCGCCAGCCACCAGCCGCAGCCGCCAGCCGCCUUCACACUUGAAGGUUGAAUUUUCGUAUUUUGAUUUGUGUAUAAAUAGAGUGUCCAGCUUGUGUUUAUUUGUGUGGAGAGAAUUGAGAGGAACACUUGAAAGAGAAUAGAGAGAGAGAGAGGGCGUGUAAUUGUUAAGCUUUUAUUGUGUUAUUGUAAGCUUCGGUUUUGUGUAAUAAAACAGUGUGUUUUAUCCCCUCUGAGUGUUUCAAAGCCACCACCAGUGGUUUCUCCCACCAACACAUCUUUCAUGGACAGCCAUUCCAGCGCACCAAUCAAGCGAGGAAGACCCGUGAAACAGAGACAGACUCAUAUUUCAUCCAAUCCACCCCCAGAAACAGCAAGCUGAAAUCGCAGUCUUGCACAAAAGUUUUUUUUAAUCUAGAAUUUGUUUUUCUAGAAUCAGCGGAAGGAAUCAAUUUUUUUCUUAAUACUAUUACCUCUUAAUUAAUUAUUGAGCACAGACUAACAUAUGUUUCAUCUUCAAUAAAUGCCAUUAAGAUCUUUCUUUUUUUUCCCAUCAAUCUUUGAGACUUCAUAUUAUUGUUAUGAUCUUCCCAUAAUAUGCUGUGUUAUGAUGAACUGUAUCUAUUAUCAAAUUUGCUGAUAAAUAGACUAUGACUAAUGUUUUUAUGGAUUAAUAGGAUAGAGUUAGGCUUAAUAAAAGGAUUGGUCAUGUCAGGUGAACAUAUAUAAUAUUUUAAAAUAGUCAUAACUUUUUUAUUUUAUCAUCGAAUGAAAUUCAAAUUUUUACAUGAGAUUUUCAAAAUAUAAUUCUAUAAGAAACCAUAUUUAAGAAUUCAUUUGCUACAAAGAUUUCUUGAAAAUAGACUCGGAAUGUCCUCAAAUUGAUUUUAUUAGAUUUGAGCCAUUAACUAGCCUAGAUCUAAUAAGAUUGGGUAAUGUAAUAAUAUGAUUUAAACUUUACACAAAGAUAGCAAAUGAACCAUCCAAAAAAUAUUUGGUAACAAUUAACUAAAACAAAUUAGCCACUAACAUCUUACCUGGAAAGAGAAGAAAGAAAAAAUUAUUGGAAACUUAUUUCAUUCCACCAUGAACAUCACCCACCAUAAAAAAAAGUUGUUGAGAUGGUUCAAACCCUACUACAAAAGAAUGCAUGGUGACAUUGAAUGAAGUCACAUGGGUUGCUAAAGCAACACCCAGGAAUAAAAACAUAAGGAAGCUAUCACUUAUCUAUAUUCAAUCAAUUUUAUUUAACUUAAAAAUAAAUUUUAUUUUUAAAAAUAAAUUUAAUAAAGAAAAAUAAAUAAAAAGAUCCUAGAUAACUUAAUGAAAAAAAAAAAGGGUAAAACAAAGUACAUGAAAAGUUAGAGAAAGAAAUGAGAGUCCAAUCUUCAAUUAAACAAAUAUUGAAGGAUGAAACUGAAAAAUUAUUAGUUUAAAUUAAUGAUAAAUAAAAUAAAACAAUCUUGAAUGAGCCCAAUAAGAUGAUUUAAUUUCAAAAACUUGCAACCCAUGAAAUACUAGACACGAGCUUAAUUGAUAAGCUUAAAUUUAAACCAAUUAAAUGUUGAAGAAUAAAAUUGAGUUAAAAAAAUACCACUCUAAAAAAUUUUCCAAAGGAAAAAAAAUAAUCAAAUGAAUAAUAAAAGGAAAAAAUCUAGUAGGAAAAAAAAUAAUGGAAGUUGAAAUCUCAAAAUAAAAAAUUAAAUUCUAAAAAUUAUCCUAGAUUUUAUAAAUAAAAAUUAAAUAAAUAAGACCAAAUAUAAUCAAAUAAGAAAUUGAAUGAGGAUAAAAUUAAAAUUAAAAAUCUAAUUUCAUAAAUUAUUUCAAAUAUAAUAUAUAAUGACAAAAAAAUAAGGAUUAAAAAAAAAAAUUUAGUAGUUGAUUUGAAAAAUCACAAGGCAGACACAAACUCUAAGAAAGAAAGAGGAAAUAAAGAAAAGAAAAAGAAUGAUUAUAGUAAAUGCCUUCUUUUCAUGGAGAAUAAGUCGAGAAAAACCAGACGUCACCCUAGUAUGAUAAAUUUGUUCAUUAGUAUAAACAGUAAAUGUUGUCUAAAGACGGCGAAGUGCUUACACAACACGCGUUAGUCUAUUUAUAUAUAUUUUUUAUUUAUUAAAAUAUUAAAUUGCCCUCACCUUAACUCAUUAAUUAUCAAAAUUGUAGCAGGGUAAUAAGAUGGGUGUACCCGAUAAAACAGUACAGCAGCCUAAACACCUAGUGCAGCAGCAGGAUAGCAGAAACAGUUAUGGAGGUUAAUUUCAAGAUGAAAUUGCUAAUAGUUCCACGUGAUUGCAAGCUUAGCUAACAGUUAAGAGUGAGCUGGAAGGAGAGUUAGCAGUUAGUUUGUUAGUUAGUCAAGAAGGAAGUCAGCAUAGGAUGCAAAUAUAAAUACUGUAACGUGUAAUGCUUGGAGGGCAGGCAAUGAGAAACCAUUCUUCAGUAAUUAUCAGUAAUUGAUUUCAUUUAAUUUCUCUCAUCUGUUUUUUCUCCAUAUCUUUUCCAAAAAAAAGGAUUCUUUUGCUCUCUUUCACACACUUAAUAAGAUAAUUAACUGUUUUUUUUUUUUCUUCUGAUAGUCAAUAGCAGGCUCUUUUACGCAUCUUUUAAUUAAUAAAAUGACUUAUUAUUAUUAAACUUGAGAAAAGUUGCUGCUGCCUAUCUUGUUUCCCUCACGCACUAACAGUUUGAAAGCAGCUGGAUCGGCGGCGCGUGCAAUACAUGGCAAUGCUAAACCAUUGAUCGUCUUGCUUCCAUCAGUAAGAAUCCUAAACCACUCGGAGAAAAUAUUAGGGAGUGAACUUUAUCAAUGUUGUUUGGCUAUUAAUCUCAAUAAUUAUUUAUUAGGAUUUUUCUCUUCAAGUUAGAGCUAGAAUUAUUGUGAUUUUAAUAGGAUUUCUUCAGACGCACCCGCAGCGGAAUGUGCAAUAGUGGCUUCCAAACUGAGAGAUGAUAUCUAGAAGAUCUCCAUAACCUCCAACUACAGUCACCAGAAAAAGCAAUGGGGUCAAGAGCAUGGGAAGCACAAAGAAUAAUAUUUGGGGAUGAAUGGAAAUACCAAACGCAUAAAGAAUAGGAAGAUACCCAUCUGACAAAUUAUGAAAGAACUUCUCCAUUUAUGUCAUAACGACUUGUUACAGGUUCUGCUCCAACAGCUACAAUCUGAGAUGGUGAUACAAUCAGUAUUAGUGUCCUGCAACAGAUGAAGAAGAUUUAACUAAGAAUGUGAAAAGUUUUGAAUAUUACGGAGCAAUCAGUAUUCUUUUUCUAAUUGAAUUUUAUUUUCAAUUUAAUCCCUUGAUAUUUGAUUUCAAAAUAUUUUUAUAUCAUAUUUGAUUAUCAUUUUUUUAUUUCAAUUUUUUUUUGUUUUGGAGACUUUUUUAAUACAAUUUUUUUAAAAAAUUCAUCCCUCACUAUUUUAUUGAUUUAUAAUUUUACUUCUUUAUUUUUAUUUUUAUAGUUUGUCUCCUAUAUAGUUGGUCCUUGGCUCAUGAGCCUUUUUAAUUGCAUUUUUUUUCUUGAAAUCUAUCCCACACUAUUUUGUUGAAUUCUAUCCAUAUUUUAGGUUUUUUAAAAAAAAUUGAUUUUUUAUUCUUUAUCCUUAAACAUUUAAUUUAUUAAAAAUUAGUCUUCAUGCUUUUAUUUUCAUUUUUUUAUAUCUACUUAUCUCAAUUCUAUGCUUAUAAUUGCGAGUUUAAUGUGUUAACUUCAAGGAUUUAAUACAUGAAAUAUGAGAAUAGGUAAUUGAAAGGCCUUUGUUCACUAUUUAUUAAUAAAUAAUCUGAUAAUAUUUUGCAAAUAUUAAUUAGUAACAAAAUAAAUAGAAAUACAAAAUUUUUAAUUACAUAAGAUAUUUGGUUGCAAAAGAAAAACAUUUUAAAAAACUCUUCAAAAGAUUUUAAAAAAACCCUUUAGAGUAGUCAAAUCCAAGAUAAAUAAUUUUUCACUAGCUUGAAAGAUUGUAAAAGAAGUAUUUCCCAUUAUAAAGUUUUUAUGUUUAUAUUACCUUACUUGUUAAGACAAUAAAUUACAUUAUAUCUUUUAUCAUAAUAACUUAUUAAUAUAUCUGAUGAUUUUUAAAUUAUUGUUAUCUUAACUAAAACAUUUAUUUGCUAAUAAUUAAUAUAAAAUUUCUUUCCAGGAGUCUCUAAGCUCUCUGGCUCUUUAGAAUCAUUUUUUUGUAUAAUUUCUUACAUAUUCUUUGUGUAAAUAUUCUAUGAAAUUUUAUAUAAACUUUUUAGAUGAUUGGCACAUUUAUUUCAAUAUAAUUAAUGCUUUUUAUGGUGUUAGAUGGAACAUGCAUGUUUGGCUAAAGGGUUUUCAUGUAAUUUUAUUUAAUGUUAUAUUAUUUUGAUAUUUUGAUUUUAAAAAUAAAAAUAUAUUUUUCAUAUAUUUUUUUAAAAAUACAAUUAUUAUUUUAAUUUCAAACAUCCUGAAGAAGUGUCAUUUUCUUAUCCUUGCCAUGAUAAAUUUGACAGGAGAGGUUCGUGGAAGAUGCUGCCACCAGAAAUCAAUUAAUGCCAACUGCCCUCUGUUUUAAAGUUGCAUGUAUCUGAUCACCAUUCCAAAACACACUUAAUUUUCUCUUUAAUAUUUCACAGCACACUUCUCUCUUUCCCCAGCUCAAUAUUUCUUCUUUGAUUUCCCCAACAAAAACAAGAAAACAUGGCAGCAGAACUUCUUCUUACGUUUGCCGUGGAGGAGUCCUUGAGAAGGAUGAUUUCCAUAGCUGCUGAAGGGAUCGGAAUUGCUUGGGGACUGAAUGGACAGCUGCAAAACCUCGUAGAUUCUUUGACCAUGAUUCAAGCUGUGUUGCGAGAUGCAGCAACAAGGCUUGUGUGAAGCGUUGGCUGGAUAAGCUUCAAGAUGUAGCUCAUGAUGCUGAAGAUGUUCUAGACGAGUUUGAUUAUGAACCGAAGGGAAAGGUAUGUGAUUUUGUUUCACUCCACAACCCUAUUGUGUUCCGUUGGAAAAUGGGUCAUAAAGUGAAGAGGAUCCAUGGAGCCUUAGAUGAAACUGGGCGAGAUCCACCCCGGCAGACAGAUUCCUUCCUUGACAGCUCAGCUGACACCUCAGCAGUUGUAGUAGGAAGGGAGGAUGAUGUCUCUAAAGUUCUGGAAUGGCUGACUCGAAUGACCAAAUCCCAACAUGUCCUUUCGGUUGUUCCUAUAGUGGGGAUGGCUGGCCUCGGAAAGACUACUAUAGCAAAGAAUGUUUAUAAAGAAGUCAAGGAAAGAAAGCUUUUUGAUGAAACAAUAUGGGUUUGUGUCUCUAAUCAUUUUGAUGAAGUGAAGAUUUUACGAGAAAUGUUGCAAACGAUAGAUAAAACUACGGGGGCGUUGGAGAAUAUUGAUGCAAUUCUUCAAAACCUUAAGAAACAGCUGGAAGAUAAAACAUUUCUUCUUGUUCUCGAUGAUGUGUGGAAUCGUAAUCGUAAUAAAUGGAAUGGUUUGAAGGAUGGGUUGUUAAAAAUUAAAAGCAAAAAUGGGAAUGCUGUUGUUGUUACAACCCGCAUUACGGAAGUAGCAAGCAUGAUGGAGACUUCUCCUGGGAUUCAGCUCGAGCCAGAAAAACUAUCAGAUGAUGAAUGUUGGUCCAUUAUCAAGCAAAAAGUGAGUGGGGGUGGAGGAGCACCAUUAGCUGCAGACUCGGAAUCUAUUGGAAAGGAGAUUGCAAAUAAAUGCGGAGGGCUUCCAUUGCUUGCAAAUGUUUUGGGAGGAACACUGCGCCAAAAGGAGACAAAGGAGUGGGAGUCAAUUCUAAGCAAUAGAUUCUGGCAUUCCACUGAUGGAAAUGAAGCUUUGGAUAUAUUGAGAUUCAGUUUUGAUCACCUGUCAUCUCCAUCACUGAAAAAAUGUUUUGCAUACUGUUCCAUUUUUCCUAAAGAUUUUGAAAUUGAAAGGGAAGAGCUAAUUCAACUUUGGAUGGGUGAAGGUUUUCUUGGGCCAUCAAAUCAGAGGAUGGAAGACAUGGGCAACAAGUAUUUCAAUGACUUGCUUGCAAAUUCCCUUUUUCAAGAUGUUGAAAGGAAUGAGUAUGGGAUGGUAACAAGUUGCAAGAUGCAUGAUCUUGUGCAUGAUCUUGCAUUACAGGUCUCAAAAGCAGAAACGUUAAAUCCAGAGCCGGGUUCGGCUGUUGAUGGUGCAUCUCAUGUUCUUCAUCUCAAUCUCAUUUCUUGUGGGGAUGUUGAGUCAACAUUUCAAGCGGUUGAUGCUAGAAAGUUGCGUACUGUUUUCUCAAUGGUUGAUGUAUUGAAUCAGUCUUGGAAAUUGAAAAGCUUGAGAACUCUCAAAUUGCAACGGUCUAAUAUCACAGAAUUACAAGAUUCAAUUUGCAAGCUGAGACAUUUGAGAUAUCUUGAUGUCUCACAUACAAAUAUCAAAGCAUUACCAGAAUCCAUCACAAAGCUCUAUCAUUUGGAAACAUUAAGAUUCACUGAUUGUUUUCAGCUUCAAAAGCUUCCCAGGAAAAUGAAAAAUUUAGUCAGCUUGAGACACCUUCAUUUUAAUGAUAAAAACCUAGUGCCAGCCGAUGUGAGCUUCUUAACACGUCUACAAACGUUGCCAAUCUUCGUUGUGGGUCAAGAUCAUAAAAUUGAAGAGCUGAGAUGUUUGAAUGAGCUAAGAGGAGAAUUGGAGAUAUGGUGUCUUGAGCGAGUGAGAGACAGAGAAGAUGCCGAGAAGGCAAAACUGCGUGAAAAAAGAAUGAACAAAUUGGUAUUUAAAUGGAGUGAUGAAGGUAACAGCAGUGCUAACUGUUGAAUAAACUCAAUCUAGAAGCACCUAGAUGGUCAAGGAAGGCAACCACCCACCAGCCGCAGCCGCCAGCCGCCAGCCGCCUUCACACCGCCGGUCAACAGCCGCCUUCACACCUGGAACAGUAGAUUUUCGUAUUCUGAUUUUGGUCUAUAAAUAGAGUGCCCAGCUUGUGUUUAUUUGUGUGGAGAGAAUUGUGAGAAACACUUGAAAGAGAAUAGAGAGAGAGAGGGUGUGUAAUUGUUAAGCUUUUAUUGUGUUAUUGUAAGCUUCGGAUUUUGUAAUAAAACCAGUGUGUUUUAUCCCCUCUCAGUGUUUCAAAGCCACCACCAGUAGUUCCUCCCACCAAUAAUUGGUAUCAGAGCCCCGUUCGUCGGAAAACAGAAGAGUUUUGGGGUAUAUCCGAAUUUUCAAAGUUGUUCAAAACAAGUUUUGAUCAUUCCAAAGUGUAGAGCUCAUCAAUACGAACUCACUGCCGCAAAAAUCAGCCCAAUCGGAGUUCGGGGUAGCCCACACGCGCCGCCUGAAUAUUCAGCCAGAUCGCCCACGCGCAUCCCACGCGCCCCGAGGUUGAAGACGACUGAGCCACACGCGCGCCAUAUUUGAGCCGCGCCGAGCCGUAUACGCCGAGUCCUAGCCGAGCCACAAGCCGAGUCCAGCCGAGCCGAGCCGAGUUCCAGCCUUAGCCGAGCCGAAGGAAUAUUCCCCAGAAUAUUCCCCGAAUAUUCCCCCCAGAAUAUUCCCCGAAUAUUCCACAGAAUAUUCCCGGUUCAACCCAGCGAACCGCCCGCCGUACAGAAUUGGUUUUUUGACCGGUUCACCCAUUUUCUGACCCGAUUUCAACAAAGUCAGACCGGUUCCCUACUAUUUGGACCAUUCCGGAUCGAUCUACAGUGUCCGUUUGGCAAAUUCGGCUCCCAGAAGGCGAUAUAGUCAUUAAAGAGCAAAAUGACUACAGAAGGUACACAUACACUCAUCCCGAAGCUGACCAAAGACAACUAUGAUAGUUGGUGCAUCAGAUUGAAGGCAUUUCUUGGGUCACAAGAGUGUUUGAUAUUGUACAAACUGGUUAUGAUGAACCAGAGUCCAAAGAAAGAGAAGAUGCUUUACAAGAGGCACAGAAGCAAGCCUUAAAGUCAACAGAAAGAAGGACAACAAAGCAAAGACCAUCAUCUAUCAAGGUCUUGAUGAAGAUACAUUCGAGAUAAUAGCUUCCGCUGAAACGUCACAUGAUAUAUGGGAGGCUCUCCAACAGAAAUACAAAGGUGCUGACAGAAUCAAGAAGAUUCGUCUUCAAUCUUUGAGAGGAGAAUUCGAAUUAUUACGAAUGAAGUCCUCAGAAUCUAUUUCUGAUUAUCAUACAAGGAUUAUGGUGAUAGUCAACAGAUGAGAGAAAUGGAGAAGCCCUCAUUGCACUCGAAUUAUUGAGAAAAUUUUGAGAUCCAUAGAUCCAAAAUUUGAUCAUGUUGUUGUCGCAAUUGAAGAGUCCAAGGAAGUGGACAAGUUGACAGUGGAUGAGCUUAUGAGUUCUUUGCAAGCUCAUGAGCAGAAGAUUGUAAUGCGAAAUGAAGAUAAGGCCAUUGAGCAUGCCUUACAAGCAAAGCUGUCUUUCAAGGACAGAUAUGAGCAAGGGGAGACUUCAACAGUGGCUACACCACUCAAGCAGGAAGUCAACAAUCCAGAGGAGGAUUUCAUAGAUUCCAAGGAAGAGGAAGAGGAUCUUGGAAUACAAGCUUCAGAGGAAGAGGUGGCAGAAACACCACCAGAGGAGGCCGAGGCAACAAGCAUUCACUCCUAGAGGAAGAGGAGGCGGUUACAAUAACCGUGACAAGAGAAAUAUCAAAUGUUAUAGCUGCAAUCAAUUUGGGCACUAUAGCACUGAAUGCCGAUGGAAAGCUCCGUUGGAGAUACGUGAGCAAGCCAACUAUGUAGAGAAGCAUGAUGGAGAAGCAUCUGCAUUUCUUGUCCAACAAGAAUUGCGAGAAACAAGAAAUAUAUGGUAUCUAGAUACUGGAGCCAGCAAUCACAUGUGCGGCUACCGAGAGUUAUUUGGUGAUCUAGAUGAGACCAAGCAAGGUCUAGUUACUUUUGGAGAUACCACAAAGGUUCCAUUCAAAGGUAAAGGCAACAUCCCAGUCAAGUUGAAGAAUGGCGAUUCCAGCUACAUCGCCGAUGUGUAUUAUGUCCCAGCCAUAAAGCAGAACCUGAUCAGCUUAGGCAACUUUUGGAGAGAGGAUAUAGUUUUUACUCGAAGAAUUGUCAUCUGACAAUUAGAGACAACAAUGGGAGAUUAAUGGCCUACGUGAAAAUGUCCAAGAAUAGGAUGUUUCCUUUGAACAUCCAGUAUGAUGCAACAAGGUGUUUGAGUGCCAUCACCAACAGUGAAGAAUGGCUUUGGCACCUGAGGCUUGGACAUCUGAAUUUCACGAGUAUGAAGAUGCUAGCAAGCAAGAAGAUGGUCAAAGGUUUGCCUCACAUUGAUCAUCCAGAUGAAGUCUGUGAGAGUUGUGUCCUCAGCAAACAUCACAGAUCCAGUUUUGCCAAAGAAGUCAACUGGAGAGCAAAGAGGCCACUGGAGUUAGUACACACAGAUGUGUGUGGCCCAAUUACGCCUAUGUCGACUGGACAAAAUAGGUACUUCCUCACUUUUACUGAUGAUUUUAGUAGAAAGACGUGGAUAUACUUUCUGAAGAGGAAGUCAGAAGUAUUCAAUUGUUUUAAAGAUUUUAAAGCAAUUGUGGAGAAGCAAACUGGUUACACGAUCAGAACCGUAAGAUCUGAUCAAGGUGGAGAAUAUACAGCAAAUGACUUUGAAGCCUAUUGUACACAACAAGGCAUCAGACAUCAGACGACGCCAGCUUAUACACCACAGCUGAACGGUGUAGCAGAAAGGAAGAAUCGCACGAUUCUUGACAUGGCCAGAAGUUUGCUCUCAAAGCAAAGAAGCUGCCCAAGCAAUACUGGGCUGAAGCUGUAUCAUGUGCAGUGUAUCUACUGAAUCGCUGCCCAACCAGAAGUUUGCAAGGAGUCACUCCAGAAGAAGCAUGGAGUGGUCACAAACCAAGUGUUACUCAUCUACGAGUCUUUGGUUGUGUGGCAUAUGCAAAGAUCCCAGAUGCAAGAAGGAGAAAGCUCGAUGAUAAGAGCGAGAAAUGCAUCUUUGUCGGAUAUGGUGAAAGAAGGAUGGGAUACAGGCUGUAUAAUCCCAUCACGAAGAAGGUGAUUACGAGUAGAGAUGUUAUCUUUGAAGAAGAUAAAUCUUGGGCAUGGAAUGGUGAUCAAGAAGCAGUCAAAUGGAUCAAUCUGAUUUGAUCCUUGAAGGUGAAGAAGUACCAACAGUACUUGUCGAAGAACCGAUUGUGCCAGCAGCUGAACCACAAAGUCCGGCACACAGUUUCCCUGUAUUCAACAGGAGGAACACACCAGGAGCAUCAUCAUCAACACCACCAGCAUCCUCAUCAGAAGACCAAGAAGGAUGCGGAAUCUUGAAGAGUUGUACGAUACCACUCAGGUUAUGGAAGAUACAACUCUGUUUUGUUUCUUUGCAGAUAGUGACCCAUUAAGCUUCAAUGAAGCUAUCACAGAAGAGAAAUGGAUAGAAGCAAUGGAUGAAGAAAUACAUGCCAUUGAGAAGAAUGAUACCUGGAAGCUGACUUAUCUACCAGAAAACAAGAAAGCAAUAGGUGUCAAAUGGGUCUACAAGACGAAGAAGAACGCCAAAGGAGAAGUGCAAAGAUACAAAGCCAGAUUAGUGGCUAAAGGCUACAAACAGAGAGAAGGCAUUGACUAUGGAGAAGUAUUUGCUCCAGUAGCCCGGCUAGAGACAAUCAGACUGAUGAUCUCACUAGCUGCACAACAUAGAUGGAAGAUCUAUCAACUCGAUGUGAAGUCAGCAUUUCUGAAUGGCUUCCUAGAAGAAGAAAUCUAUGUUGAACAACCACUUGGAUACAUUGAUGCUGAAAAUGAAGGCAAAGUAUACAAGUUGAAGAAGGCUCUCUAUGGUUUGAAGCAAGCUCCGCGUGCUUGGAAUACCAGAAUUGACAGGUAUUUUCAAGAUAAUGGAUUUGAAAAAUGUCCAUAUGAACACGCAAUGUAUGUGAAGAAAGGAGCAGAUGGCAGCAUCUUAUUUGUGUGCCUGUAUGUUGAUGAUUUGAUAUUCACCGGCAACAACCCUACCAUGUUUGACGACUUCAAACGAAGCAUGGUACAGGAGUUUGAAAUGACUGACAUUGGUCUAAUGUCACAUUUUCUUGGCUUAGAAGUAACGCAGAAGGAAGAAGGGAUUUUUGUAUCCCAAAGCGGUUACGCCAAAGAUAUUCUUGAAAGGUUCAAGAUGGAAAGCUGCAAUCCGGUAUCAACUCCAGUUGAGAAUGGAGUGGAAUUGAGGAAGAGUAAGGUUGGAAAUGUUGAUCCAACUUACUUCAAAAGCUUAGUAGGAAGCUUAAGGUACUUGACAUGUACCAGACCGGAUAUACUCUACGGAGUCGGACUCGUCAGCAGAUACAUGGAGACACCAGACCAGUCUCAUUUGAAUGCAGCCAAGAGAAUUCUUCGCUACAUCAAAGGCACAAUGAAUGAAGGUAUGUUUUAUACCUCAAGUAAAGACUUUAAUCUUGUAGGCUACUCGGAUAGUGAUUGGGGUAGAGAUCUGGAUGAAAGGAAAAGCACAACAGGGUUUGUCUUUUUCAUGGGAGACACAUCUUUCACAUGGUCAUCCAAGAAGCAAUCGAUUGUCACAUUAUCAAGCUGUGAAGCUGAGUAUGUUGCUGCCAACUCAGCCGUAUGCCAUUCAAUAUGGUUAAGGAAUAUGCUGAAGUUUUUGGGAUUUCCUCAAGAAAGUCCUGCGGAGAUUUAUAUUGACAAUCGAUCAGCAAUCGCAUUAGCAAAGAAUCCAGUGUAUCAUGAGAGGAGCAAACACAUUGAUACACGUCAUCACUUUAUCCGGGAACAUGUGAAGAAUGAAGAAGUCCAACUGAUAUCUUGCAACACAAAUGAUCAAGUUGCUGACAUCUUCACAAAGCCAUUGAAAGGAGAAGUAUUCAUCCGAUUAAAGUUCAUGCUUGGCAUGACAUCCCUCGAUUGAGUUUAAAGGGGAGAUUUGUUGAAUAAACUCAAUCUAGAAGCACCUAGAUGGUCAAGGAAGGAAACCACCCACCAGCCGCAGCCGCCAGCCGCCAGCCGCCUUCACACCGCCGGUCAACAGCCGCCUUCACACCUGGAACAGUAGAUUUUCGUAUUCUGAUUUUGUCUAUAAAUAGAGUGCCCAGCUUGUGUUUAUUUGUGUGGAGAGAAUUGUGAGAAACACUUGAAAGAGAAUAGAGAGAGAGAGGGUGUGUAAUUGUUAAGCUUUUAUUGUGUUAUUGUAAGCUUCGGAUUUUGUAAUAAAACCAGUGUGUUUUAUCCCCUCUUAGUGUUUCAAAGCCACCACCAGUAGUUCCUACCACCAACAAUAACAUCGAGGAUGUGCUGGAUGCUCUACAGCCUCACCCAGACACAAGAAGCUUAACAAUUGAGGGUUACUGUGGUGAAAAGUUCCCAUCAUGGAUGUCAAUGUUGCAGCUCAAUAAUCUGAUGGUGCUGAGAUUGAAAGAUUGCAGCAACUGCAGACAACUCCCAAUACUUGGAUGUUUUUUCUCACCUUGAGAUUCUAGAGAUGAGUGGAAUGUCUAAUGUGAAAUGUAUAGGCAAUGAGUUCUACAGUAGCAGUGGCAGCGAAGAAGUACUGUUUCCAGCACUAAAAGAACUCAGGUUGUUGGGUAUGGAUGGUCUUGAAGAAUGGAUGGUACCAGGUGGAGAAGGUGAUCAAGUAUUUCCUUGUCUUGAAAAGUUGAGCAUUGAGUGGUGUGGCAAGUUGACAAGCAUUCCGAUAUGUGGGCUUUCAUCUCUUGUAGAAUUUGAAAUUGCAGGAUGUGAGGAACUAAGAUAUUUUUCUGGUGAAUUUCAUGGCUUAACGUCUCUUCAGUUGUUGAGCAUAGAGGGUUGUACAAAGCUGACAUCAAUUCCAAGCGUACAACACUGCACAGCUCUGGUGAAAUUGGAUAUAGAUGGCUGCCCUGAGUUGAUCUCAAUUCCCGGUGAUUUUCAAGAAUUGAAAUAUUCUUUGAAGAUAUUGUCGAUGUAUAAUUUGAAAUUGGGAGCUCUUCCGAGUGGACUACAAUGUUGCACAUCUCUAGAGGAAUUGUACAUAUGGGAUUGCAGGGAGCUUAUCCAUAUCAGUGAUUUACAAGAAUUGUCUUUGCUUCGAAGGUUAGAGAUUAGAGGUUGUGAUAAGAUCAGCAGUAUUGAUUGGCAUGGUUUACGACAAUUGCCUUCUCUUGUUUAUUUAGAAAUCAAUGGGUGUCGGAGUUUGAGUAAUUUCCCAGAUGAUGAUUGCUUAGGCGGCCUCACCCAACUGAAGGAAUUGGCCAUCGGUGGUUUCUCAGAGGAGCUGGAGGCUUUUCCUAUAGGAGUUUUAAACUCAUUUCAACACCUCAACCUGUGUGGAUCCCUUGAAAGACUGGAGAUAUAUGGAUGGGAUAAACUGAAGAGUGUACCACAUCAACUUCAACACCUCACUACCCUUGAGAGAUUGGAAAUAUGUGAUUUCAGGGGAGAGGGAUUUGAGGAGGCUUUGCCAGAUUGGUUGGCCAACCUUUCUUCUCUUCGAUAUCUUGGGAUUGAUAAUUGUAAGAAUCUCAAAUAUCUGCCAAGCUCAACAGCCAUUCAACGCCUCUCCAGACUGAAGGGAUUGCGGGUUUUGGGGGGAUGUCCGCAUCUCUCAGAAAAUUGUAGAAAGGAGAACGGCUCUGAGUGGCCCAAGAUUUCUCGUAUCCCAACAAUCGAUAUAGUAUAGAAGGUACACGUGUCCAAGUAAGUUGAGAUUUUAAUUUUUUAUGAAUAAAAUAGUUUAAUCAAACAUUUUUAUGAUGAUUAAAAAUGUUUUAAUUUUUAAGGCUGCUAAAUUCUUGAAAAUAUAAUAAUAAUUGGUUCCACUAAUAUAAUAAUCGCAUUCAUUGAGUAUACUUAAUGUACAUUCAAAGUUUAUAUCCACUACUUAUCAUGCAUGCUUUCCUGUAUUACUUGAAAAUGGAUAGCACAGCUCAUCUUGUGAACACUGCAGAAACUACGAAGCAGUCUCUCUCUCUCUUCUUUUUUUUAAUUCCCUUUGUAUAUUCAAUGAUACCAUUCUGCAUUUUCCCUUUGUAUAUUCAAUGAUACCAUUCUGCAUUUUGUAGUUUAGUAUUGUUUCUGUUUCCAAGACUAAUAACAAAUUGGCUUUUUAAACAAUUGUAGAUGUAGUAGAACCUCCAAGACUGAAGAAAGCCAUGGAUUAGUUGUCUGUUGUCUUUCGCAGAUAAAUAUACUCGUCAGAUAUCAAGAAAAUGGACGAAGCUGGCAGCUUAUCACAAAAAUAAUAAGUAUAUUUGUCAGAAAGCAAGAAAAUGAAUGCAGCUGGCAGCAUAUCACAAAGAUAGUAGUGCUUUAAUAUAUAUGGGCAUGGAUGUGAAUUCUUACCUGAAUAUAAUGUAAUGUAUCGGCAACUAUUUUGUAUUGUAUUUCUUUCUUAACAUUUGAGAAUUAAAUUUUUAUGAAGUUAUGUAUAUUUCAGUGACUAAAAUCCUUGUAAGUGUGGAUGUCAUUUGUUAUCUGGGCUUUGCCCUUUCCUAAAUCAAUGAUUUUCGUUACUGUUAAAAAAAAAAAAUUAAUGGUAGCUUGACAUACUUAUGGAAUCGACUGAACCAUAUUCACCUAAUCCUCAGAAAAAAAUGUGUCGAAUUGUCAAGAACAGAAGAAUGUUCUGCCUUUUGUGAUUUGUUUGAAAUGACUUUUACAUACUUUUGUGAUGGUUUAGCAUAUGUAGUAGCUAAUAUUGUCCAUGCUUCCUUUGAUGUUUGUGGUUGAGCAAUGAACGACAUGAUUGUGGGUGAAAGAGAACCAAGGAUGGCAUUGAGAAGUAAUUGAUCCUGUCGGAUCCACAGUGUGUGUGCUGGGUUAGGUGUAGCUGUUCCUGGUAUAGUUGUUGCCGGACAAGGAUGUGAUCCAUUGAGAUCAUAUCCUAUGAAGAGAGUCUGGAAUUGAAGUUUCCUGGUAUAGUGUUUGGGCUCUACAUUGAUGGUGAUCAAUGUGCUGUGAGAUUCAUUUGUGUUAAGGAUGGUGGUGUUGACAGGCAUUGGAAGCUUGGAGGAAAAGAGAAGAAAGAAAGAAAAAAAAAAAACGGUGAGAUGAGAGAAGAAUAAGAUUAGAGCUCUGAUACCAUAACGAGUAAGAUUGAGAAAAGCUUAAUGUUCAACGUAUCUCAUCAUAUUCCAAAACACACUUCAUUUCGUCUUUAAAAUAUUUCACAACUAAUUUUGUAAAAGUUUUAAUAGAAAAAAAAAAAACAGUAGAAGAGAAGAGUUAUAGAAGAAAGAAGAGUUAAUCUUAGUGCUUCUUUAGACACAGUUUAUUUUAAAACCAAAUACCAUGCCGACAGAGGCUUCUGUGGAAUUUUCUUAGCCUUGGCAUGACAAAUUGACAGUAGUGGUUCGUGGAAGAUGCAGCCAGCUACCGUCGAUCAACUAGUGUUUGGAUAGCUGGAAAAGAAUUCACACUUGCCACUACAAGAUUUAACAGUUUUACCGACGGAAUUUUUCCGUCGGCGUAAGACACAUAUUCCAUCGGUAAUUAAUUUACCGACUAAAUCACCGACGGAUAAUUUUCGUCGGUGAAUCGUUUGUCGGUAACUUUUUGUCCGUCUGUAAUUCCAUCGGUAAUAAUAUUACCGACGGAUUUACUGGUGGAACAGACGCGUCGGUAAUUUUUUUUUAUUACCGAUGGAUUUACCAACGGAUUUACCGACGGAAAUUUCCGUCGGUAAAUCCGUCGGUAAUUAUUUAAAAACAUUUUAAAAAAAAUUCAUUUUAUAAAAUUAUAAAAUAAUUAAAUUAACAUAAAUCAACAUUGUAUAAUAUAUACUCAAAAUGCUUGGAAAAAAGAAUAAGAAAAUCAACUCAAACAAAUUUGUAACAAAUAAAUAAAACAAAAAAAUUAAUUCAACUAAAAAACUUCAUAUGAAAAAAAUGAAGUUGCAAUUGCUAAAAAUUUAAAAAUCCUAUAAAUAAAUCAACUAAAAAUUGAUCUCAUAUGAAAAAAAAAAAAAAACCUCACAACAACAUUUAUACAAUUAUUAAGAACAAAAAUCAAUUAAAAUUAAAUAAAAAACAAAUAUAGUGAAAAAUCAUGAAAAAAUAAGAAAAAAGAAAGAUCUUACCUUAAUAUACUUGCAAGUGAAGCUAAGGAAAAAACAAUUCGUGAAGCAUAUUAAUUAAAAAAAACUAAGAGGAUAAAAGAAGAAGGAAGAAGAAGACAUACCCGAGCAUGGAGGAAAAGAGAAGGAGAUGAGGAGAGAAAAGAAGAGAAAGAAAUAGAUAUUGAUGUUUUUUACAUAUAGUGAAGAAGAAGAAGAAGAAGAAAUAGAAGUAGUAGUAGUAGAAGAAGAAGAAGAAGAAGAAAUGAGUAUGUCUCUUAUGAAAUAAGCGGAUUCAGGUUUUUUAUUGGGGCGCUUUACCGACAGAUAAUUGAAUAUUAAUAUUUUUUAAUUAUUCCGUCGGUAAUAUUUAAUUUAAAUUUUCAAUUUCGUAAAAAGUUUUUAGAAACCGCCAAAAAUUACCGAUGAUUUUUCAAUCCGUCGGUGAUUCCGUCUGUAAUAUUUAAAUGAAAAUUUAAAAUCAAUUGAAUUUUUUCAGAAAACCGCCAAAACACCCCGACGAAUUUUCAAUCCGUCGGUGAUUUUGUUCGUAAAGUAAAACAAUUAACAGUGCAAUUGGAAGAUGAACAGUUCUGGAGCUCUCUGUAAAAUACCGACGGAAAAAUUCCAUCGGUAAUUCCCUUUGUAAUUGACAUGAUGAACAGUGUUCACAGUUUACCAACGAAUUUACCGACAAAAUUACCGACGGAAAAAUUCCGUCGGUAAUUCCCUUUGUAAUUGAAAGCAAAAGGCAGCACUUGCAUAUAAUUAAAGGUUAAAAGCAACUUGCUAUAUCUUAUAAUAUAAUAUUUGGUAGGAAAGCUGCUGCUUCCUUCUUAUUAAAAGAUACAAUAAUUAAUUAUUAUUGAGCUGACCAUACUACUAUCAUGGUAGCCAGCUACUGCAAAAAUGACAUUGUCUUCUGCUUGAUCUCUCUCAGUAUACCAUUGACUUCCUAAUUUCCCUCACCAAAUUUCUUAAACCUUUCUCAUGAUCUGUGGUUCCUUUUUCUGAUUGAAUCGAAUCAUCUCAUAUUGUGUUCUUGAUCUCUAUCUUUCUUGCUUGCAAGGUAAAUCCUACUUUCUUUUCUUGUUUUUCUACCACUAACUUUGUUUCAAAUAAGAUUUGCCCAUUUGGUUGUAGAAAUAAUAAGUAGGAUUGUCGAUUGAUCAAUCUGGUAGAACUUAAAUAUUAUAUAUGUGUUGCUUAAUCUAUUUUAGAACUCAAAACUCAUAUUAUAGCUUUGUUCUUACAUGUUCAUUUUGCCAUCAAACUCAACUAUUUAUCUUCAAAACAAGCAGAAUUUCUUCCAAAGUUUUAUUUUAGAUUGCUUUUCUGACAAUUAUUUAAAUUAUUCAAUAUUUGUUAUAAUUUUUUAUCUGCUUAAAGUACAUCUCUAUAGGAAAAUAUACAGUUAAGUGCCUGCCUAUUUAAUUUCAGAAUUUGUAAUGAUUGACUUAAUUUUACAUGCUUUGUUUUACAGCUUCAGUUUAUUUAUAUAUAUGGGAUGUUUGCUGGUUGUUGACAAACUGUAGCAUUUGUACUCGCUGCCUUUGCUUCUGGGCUUCUUUCUUUGAAGGGCACUGCUUUGUAAGAUUGAGGUAUGCACUCUUUUCCUUUGCUUUCUUAUUUUAAAAAAAUAAUGAUUUCCUCUAAAUUUUCAUUUUAUGAUUGAGUUCUUAUUUUCCAAUUAAUUCAACAUCCAUUUUUAUGCGUUACUUUUGACAAUUUUUUAUUUGAUAUUUGAAGGGCCAAAGAAGAAAGCGGCAAAAAUGGCUAGACCGAAUGAUCGAUUUUGGGAUUUUGUUGAGAAGCUGGUCGUUUCAACUGUACAUUUUGUGGCUAUAAAUUUGCUGCCGCUACUUCCGUUUCGAGGAUCAAAUGGCAUUUGUCAGGAGUCAGAGGGCAUUUCCAUCGCGGCUUGAAAUGGUAGUCUUGGAAUGGUCGACUAGAUACGUAGACGAAAGGUCUAGCAUUCAAUGUGAAUGGCUUGAGAAAUUCGAAAUUGAAAGCAAAAGGCAGCACUUGCAUAAAAUUAAAGGUUAAAAGCAACUUGCUAUAUCUUAUAAUAUAAUCUUCGGUAGGAAAGCUGUUGCUUCCUUCCAAGUAACUUCCUUCUUAUUAAACAAUACAAUAAUUAAUUAUUAUAAUAAUAUAAUCUUUUGUAGGAAAGCUGUUGCUAUCAUGGUAGCUAGCUACUGCAACAUUGACAUUAUCUUCUGCUUGAUCUCUCUCAUUAUACCCAUUGACUUCCUAAUUUCCCUUACCAAAUUUCUCAAACCCUUCCUGAUGAUCUGUGCUUCCUGUUUCUGAUUGAAUCGAAUCAUCUCAUCUGGAGUUCAACCAUCUUUCUUGCUUGCUUGCAAGGUAAAUCCUACUCUCUUUUCUUGUUUUUCUACCACUAAUUUUGUUUCUACGCCUAUUUGUUUUGGCUCUUCCAAAUAGAAGUGCCCAUCUAGUUGUAGAAUUUGUGAGUACAACUUAGUUAUAUAAGUUGCUUAAUCAAUAAUUGAACUCAACUCAUACUAUAGCUUUGUUCUUACAUGUUCAUUUUGCUUCCAACUUCAACUACUUAUCUUGAAAACAGCUGCUCAAGGUUUCUUUGUCUGUUGAGUGCCUCUUGUCAGCUUGAUAGGUGACUUGUCACACUACUCUUUCUCAUAUUCUUGCGCUUACAUUUUCAGAUCAGCUUUUCCGGAAUUUCAACAUUGAGGUGCGUCCACACGUUAACUCACCCAGCAAUUAGCUUCAGAUUCUUUUGAAUCCUGGUACAGUAUUUAUACUUCAUCUUCUUCAUUUUGUUGCUGUUAUCGUUUUUGACAUGUAACUAUUGUUUGAAUCCUUUUUCUCUAGACUUGAACUGUGUAAGUUUGGUGUUUUUAAUAGUUUGACAUGUAACUAUUGUAGAAAUUUUAUUGAGAAACUUUGGAGUUAGGAUCAUCAAUGCUUUCCAAAUAUAAAUAAAUUGAUCUUUCUUUGUUUUUAUAAUCCUUGCCUUAAGGAGUUCAUACCAAAUUCAUUGUUUUUUCUUUUUAUUUAUUCUAGUCUCAACCUUUCCUUUUCCAAUUAAUUUUUUUCAAUAUUUUGACUCUGUUUUAUAUAUAGGGCAAAAUGGUUCAAUCAACUGACCCAUUUUGGCACCAUGUUGAGGAGAUGAAGUGUAUUUAUUGCGGGCGUCAAUUUCCUAACGAUACUUCCAUUUCAAGGAUCAAAUGGCAUUUAUCAGGAGAGAAAGGGCGUGGUGUUGCAAUUUGUGAAAGAGUUCCUAAACAAGUUCAAGAAGCAGCUUUUCUAGCUAUGCAUGGUGCCAACAAAAGACAUAAAAGCAUAGCAAGUUCAAGCAAUGUUAAUGAUAAUGCCAUUUCAACCACUCCACAAGAACAAAACAAUAAUGAAGUCGACAAUUUGGCAGGAGAUGCAGGAACGACACAAGCAGCAGAUAGAAUGGAUCACGCACUUGAAAUACGUAUGGAAGAGCUCAAUAAAUUGUUAAUGGAGGAUGAUAUAGAGAAUGGGACUGGAGGAGUAGUGCAGCCUGGUGCAGGAGCUAGCUCUUCUGGAGGGCUUACAAGCAACACAAAUGAGACUCCAGGAGAUGCAGUACCAACGACAGAGCUGGUGGGUCAAGCAUUCAAAGACCAUAAGAAGACUAUCUGGUCUGGGUUGAUGCACGAUGAAGUUUCAACUAUUGGCAUCUAUGGGAUGGGCGGAGUGGGAAAGACCACAUUGGUGACACACAUUUAUAAUCGGCUUCUAGAAAGACCAGGCACUUUCUGCCAUGUUUACUGGAUUACUGUUUCACAAGAUACCAGCAUUAAUAAAUUGCAAAACAGUAUCGCCCGACGGAUUGGUUUAGAUCUUUCUAAUGAAGAUGAGGAGCUGUAUAGAGCUUCCAAAUUGUCAAAAGAAUUAACGAAGAAACAGAAAUGGGUUUUGAUUUUAGAUGAUUUGUGGAAGGCUAUUGAGCUACGCAAGGUGGGAGUUCCUAUCCAAGCUGUUAAGGGAUGCAAGCUGAUUGUUACAACACGAUUAGAAAAUGUUUGUCAGCAGAUGGGUACCCAACACAUAAUCAAAGUGAAUCCUAUUUCGAAGGAAGAAGCUUGGGCUUUGUUUAUUGAGAGAUUUGGACACGACGUAGCACUUUCUCCGGAAGUGGAACAAAUUGCAAAAUCUGUGGCAAGGGAAUGUGCUGGUUUGCCACUAGGAAUUAUAACCAUGGCUGCAACCAUGAGGGGAGUGGUUGACGUACGUGAGUGGAGGAAUGCAUUGGAGGAAUUGAGAGAAUCAAAAGUUAGAAAAGAUGAUAUGGAGCCUGAGGUUUUCUACAUAUUGAGAUUUAGUUAUAACCAUCUAAGUGAUUCAGCACUGCAACAAUGUUUCUUGUACUGUGCAUUAUUCCCGGAGGACUUCAUGAUCCGUAGAGAGGAUUUGAUAGCUUAUUUGAUUGACGAGGGAGUGAUAAAAGGGCUAAAGAAUAGGGAGGCAGAAUUUAACAAAGGCCACACAAUGCUGAAUAAACUCGAAAGAGUCUGCCUAUUGGAAAGUUCUAAGAAAUGGAUUGGUACUGGUAUCAUGAUGCAUGACUUGAUUAGGUAUGCUGAUGAUAUAUAUGUCAAGAUGCAUGACUUGAUUAGGGAUAUGGCCAUCCAAAUACUACAAGCGAACUCUCAAGGCAUGGUCAAAGCAGGUGCACAGUUAAGAGAAUUACCGGGUGCAGAGGAGUGGACAGAGAAUCUUACUAGAGUUUCAAUGAUGCAAAACCAAAUUAAAGAAAUUCCUUGUAGCCAUUCACCCAGAUGUCCCAAUCUCUCAACUCUAUUGCUAUGCAGAAACGCAAAGUUGCAAUUUAUUGCAGAUUCAUUUUUUGAGCAGUUACAUGGGCUCAAGGUUCUUGAUCUGUCUUAUACAGGUAUCACAAAACUACCUGAUUCUGUCUCUGAAUUGGUGAGUCUCACUGCAUUAUUGCUCAUUGGUUGUAAUAUGUUAAGGCAUGUGCCGUCAUUAGAAAAGCUCAAGGCACUGAAGAGGUUAGAUCUCUCUGAUACUUGGGCACUUGAAAAGAUGCCUCAAG
rnacentral:lncRNA from 1 species